UGUUACAAAGUUGGCAUGGUAUCAUCAUAAUAGUUGCGGGACAAAGUCUUAACUUUUUCUUCGCUUGUGUCAUUUGCUUAUUGCACCGUAACCAUGGAUAAUCCUCAUUGUUUAUCAGGAUGCUUGGGUCAGCCUUGACAUUGAAGGGAGGAAUUUCAUGAAAUUUUCAUAAUCUUCAGACAUGUCUGUCUGGCCGUCCACUCCCAGGAUGUCCCUUUUUCCUGAAAGAACUAUGUGGCGCUUUGGCUCAUUGUAUGAUGUAUUUGCUUCCUUAUCUUUUCUUUUUCUCGGUUUGGUAGACAUGUCCUUCACAUAGACAACCUGUGCCACAUCAUUGGCUAGGACGAACGGUUCGUCAGUGUACCCAAGAUUUUUCAGAUCCACUGUUGUCAUUCCGUACUGUGGGUCUACCUAUACCCCGCCGCCUAACAGAUUGACCCAUUUGCACUUAAACAAAGGGACCUUAAAAUCAGGUCUGUAGUCAAGUUCCCAUAUGUCCGCUAUGUAACCAUAAUAUGUGUCCUUUCCGCUCUCGGUUGCUGCAUCAAAGCAGACACCGCUGUUUUGGUUGGUGCUCUUUUGAUCUUGGGCGAUCGUGUAAAAUGUAUUCCCAUUUAUCUCGUAUCCUUUGUAAGUCAAUACAGUCAAAGAUGGUCCCCUGGACAACAAGUACAACUCAUCACAAACAGUGUUUGUCACCUCUGAGACAUGUUUCUAACCAACUGCUGAAAGUCCUGAUGUGUUCACAUGUAAUCCAGUCGUCGCACUGCUCCGGGUGUUUGGAGCGCAGAACGUUCUUGUGUUCAUCGACAUACGAGGUCACCAAGGUAGAGUUCUAUAGAACUGUGUAGUUUGCUUGAGACCAAGAAUAUCCAUCCCUGCAUAUUAUUGAGUCUCUUCCAAGAGUGCCUUUUCCAGUCAGUCUCCCCUCAUACCGCGAUUUAGGGAGACCUAUCUUCUUAAGGCCAGGAAUGAAGUCAACACAAAACCCGAUAACAUCCUCUGUUUGAUGGCCCAUGGAGAUGCUUCCUUCUGGCCUAGCGCGGUUACGGACAUAUUUCUUUAGGACUCCAAUGAACCUCUCAAAGGGGAACAUAUUGUGUAGAAAUACGGGCCCCAGGAUGACAAUCUCGUCGACUAGAUGAACUAGGACGUGCGUCAUGAUAUUGAAGAAGGAUGGUGGGAACACCAGCUCGAAACUGACAAGACAUUGCGCCACAUCACUCCUUAGCCUUGGUACGAUUUCUGGAUCGAUCACCUUCUGAGAGAUUGCAUUGAGGAAUGCACAUAGCUUCACAAUGGCUAAUCGGACGUUUUUCGGUAGAAGCCCCCUCAAUGCAACUGGAAGCAGUUGCGUCAUAAUCACGUGGCAGUCAUGAGACUUUAGGUUCUGAAACUUUUUCUCUGGCAUAUUUAUUAUUCCCUUUUUAUUCGAUGAGAAGCCAGUCGUGACCUUCAUACUGAGCAGGCAUUCAAAGAAGAUUUCUUUCUCUUCUUUCGUAAUAGCGUAGCUGGCAGGACCUUUAUACUACUUCAGAGGCAUGCCGCCUUUUUCGUGCAAACGUUGCAGGUCCUCCCGUGCCUCAGGUGUAUCUUUUGUCUUCCCAUACACGCCCAAGAAGCCUAGCAGGUUCACGCAAAGGUUCUUCGUCACGUGCAUCACGUCGAUUGAGGAGCGGACCUCUAGGUCUUUCCAGUAGGGUAGGUCCCAAAAUAUAGAUUUCUUCUUCCACAUGGGUGCGUGUCCCUCAGCAUCAUUCGGAAUAGCUAGUCCACCGGGACCCUUUCCAAAGAUCACGUAGUGUAAAUCAUUGACCAUAGCAAGCACGUGAUCACCGGUGCGCAUGGCGGGCUUCUUCCGGUGAUCUGCCUCGCCUUUGAAAUGCUUGCCUUUCUUUCGACAUUGAUGGUUGGUCGGAAGAAAUCGACGAUGGCCCAGGUACACAUUCUUCCUGCAUUUGUCCAGGUAUAUACUUUCAGUGUCAUCUAAACAGUGCGUGCAUGCGUGGUAUCCUUUGUUUAUCUGUCCUGAAAGGUUACUGAGAGCGGGCCAAUCGUUGAUGGUCACGAACAACAACGCCUUAAGGUUAAAUUCAUCCUGUCUGUGCUCAUCCCACGUACGUACACCGUUUCCAUUCCACAGCUGUAAAAGUUCUUCAACUAAUGGCCUUAGGUACACAUCAAUUUCGUUGCCGGGUUGCUUAGGGCCUUGGAUGUGAACUGGCAUCAUAAUGAACUUUCGCUUCAUGCACAUCCAAGGAGGAAGGUUAUACAUACAUAGAGUCACGGGCCAGGUGCUGUGAUUGCUGCUUUGCUCCCCGAAAGGAUUAAUGCCAUCCGCGCUUAAAGCAAACCAUACAUUCCUUGGGUCCUUUGCAAACUCAUCCCAGUACUUUCUCUUGAUUUUUCUCCACUGCGACCCGUCAGCGGGUGCUCUCAACUUCCCAUCUUUCUUUCGGUUCUCACUAUGCCAUCGCAUCAACUUGGCAUGCUCUCCGUUUCUGAACAGAUGUUUCAACCGUGGUAUUAUAGGAGCAUACCACAUCACCUUCGCAGGAACCCUCUUCCUGGGGGCUCGCCGUCAACAUCACCAGGGUCAUCUUGUCUAAUCUUAUACCGCAAUGCACCGCAUACCGGGCAUGCGUUCAGAUCCUUGUAUGCACCGCGGUAGAGGAUGCAGUCAUUAGGGCAUGCAUGUAUCUUCUCCACCUCCAAUCCUAGAGGGCAUAUGACCUUCUUUGCUACGUAUGUACUGUUGGGCAAUUCGUUAUCCUUUGGAAGCUUCUUCUUCAAUAUUUUCAGUAGCUUCUCAAAUCCUUUGUCAGCCACAACAUUCUCUGCCUUCCACUGCAGCAAUUCCAGUACGGUACCGAGCUUUGUGUUGCCAUCUUCACAAUUGGGGUAUAACCCUUUUUUGUGAUCCUCUAACAUGCGAUCGAACUUCAGCUUCUCCUUUUGACUUUCGCAUUGCGUCCUUGCAUCGACAAUGACCCGGCGGAGAUCAUCAUCAUCGGGCACAUCGUCUGGUUCCUCUUGAUCUUCAGCAGCUUCACCCGUUGCAGCAUCAUUGGGCACAUCGUUUGGUUCCUCUUGAUCUUCACCAGCUCCCCCCGUUGCAGCAUCACCAUAUUCAGGGGGCACAUAGUUGUCAUCGUACUCUUCUUCUUCGCUGUCUUCCAUCACAACCCCUAUUUCUCCGUGCCUCGUCCAAACAUUAUAGUGUGGCAUGAAAUCCUUGUAAAGCAGGUGGGAGUGAAGGAUUUUUGGGUUAGAGUAAGACCUCGUAUUCCCACAUUCAGUGCAUGGACAACACAUAAAACCAUUCUGCUUGUUUGCCUCAGCCGCAUCGAGAAACUCAUGCACGCCCCUAAUGUACUCGCGGGUGUGUCUGUCAUCGUACAUCCAUUGCCGGUUCAUCUGCGUGCAUUAUAUAUAAUUAAGUGUCCAAAUUAAUAGAAGUUCAUCAUCACAUUAAAACCAAAGUGCAUACAUAGUUCUCAUCUAACAACAUAUAGCUCUCCAGAGCAUCUAAUUAAUUAAACCAUACAUUGAAACUAUGUAAAACAUUUCAAUGCGAAAACAAAUGUGAUCAUAAUCGCAACCAAGGUAACAAUUGAUCCAACGGCAUAAUGAUACCAAGCCUCGGUAUGAAUGGCAUAUUUUCUAAUCUUUCUAAUCUUCAAGCGCAUUGCAUCCAUCUUGAUCUUGUGAUCAUCGACGACAUCCACAACAUGCAACUCCAACAUCAUCUUCUCCUCCUCAUUUUUUUUAUUUUUUCCUUCAACAAAUUGUUUUCUUCUUCAACUAAAUUUAACCUCUCGACAAUAGGGUUGGUUGGCAUUUCCGAUUCACAUCCUACAUAAAUAAAAUCUAUGUCACGUUGGUCGGCAUAAUUUUCAUAAACAAUAAAUGAACCAAUAGUUAUAAAGAUAAUAUAUAUACCACAUCCGAAUCAUAGACAGGACGAGGGCCGACGGGGGCGGAUACCAAAACCAUCGCACUAUAUAAGAUGCAAUAAUAAAAGUAAGAAAAUAAUACAAGUAUCUAUGUAAACAUACAAGUAAGAAUAUUUUUCCUUUCAGAAAGAAGAUAAAACAAGAGGCUCACCACGGUGGUGCCGGCGAUGAGCUCGGCGCGGGUGAUCGACGGCGGUGAAGACGGGGACGGGGCGUGACGGACCGCUAAACCUAGACAAAUAUUAUGGAAAAUGGAGCUUGGAGGUCGAGCUUGAAGAGGAGAAAGCUUAAGUAGUGUGGCUCGGGCAUUCCAUCGAACACCUUGUGUGCAUAGGAGGUGAGCUAGAGCACCACCAAGCCCUCUCCCCCUCGGUCAGAGAAAAACAGAGCACUGGGGUGCUCUGCUCGUGAGCGAGGGGUAUAUAUAGGCACCUCAUUGGUCCCGGUUGGUGACAUGAGCCGGGACUAAAGGGGAGCCUUUGGUCCCGGUUCAAGCCACCAACCGGGAUCAAUGGUGGUGGGCCAGGAGCGAGGCCCAUUGGUCCCGGUUCAUCCCACCAACCGGGACCAAAAGGUCCAGAUGAGCCGGGACCAAUGGCCCACGUGGCCCGGCCGGCCCCCUGGGCUCACGAACAGGGACCAAUUCCCACAUUGGUCCCGGUUCUGGACUGAACCGGGACUAACGGGCUGACCCGGCCUGGACCAAAGCCCUGUUUUCUACUAGUGCACGGAUACUGUUCAUCUUCACCGUCCCAACCGAUCACCUUCGACCAUCGGGAUUACUCGGCAAGUAUCCGGCGUGCAGGAUGGGCUGCCUUGGUGUUAGACCCGAUAAUUGACGGAUACCACUUCACACGAGUCUUGAUGGAUGGUGAUAGUAGUUUAAACCUGAUAUAUCAGGACACAGUCAGCAAAAUGGGGAUAGACCCAACAACAAUUAGCCAUAGCAAUACUACCUUUAAAGGAGUAACGCCAGGCCCAGAAUCCCAUUGCACGGGCUCCCUGCUACUAGAGGUUAUACUUGGCUUCCCCGAUAAGUUCCGCAGUGAAAAUUUAACCUUCCACAUCACUCCAUUCCAAAGUGGCUAUCAAGAACUACUCGGACGCGAAGCUUUCGCUCGCUUUAACGCAAUACCGUUUACGCUUCCCUCAUGCUCAAGAUUCCCGGUCCACGUGGCAUCAUUACAGUAAAUGGAAAUAUUGAGUGAUCCUUGCGCGCGGAAGACCGUGUGGCUACCUUGGCAGCCGCACACUAAACGGCCUCACCAACUAAAGCAUCUGACAGGUCGUUAAGACCACGAACACGGUUGGACGAGUCCGGUGCAGCUAUAUGUAAUUGAUACAAGUUUGAUGGCUAUACCCCUAUUACAAUACAAGGGGCUCAACGCGCGUGCACAAGUGGCAAUCAGGCUCAACUUUACUCAUUUUGAACUAUAUAUUGUUUAUUUAGUAUAACUUACCUUUUGCACGACAACUUUUCAAUUAAGUUCCUCUCUUUUUUAGAUGACCAUCAUGCUACACCCGUCCAGAAUACGGCACAACGGAGACACAGGUGCAGACGUGCAGCAGGGACCCGUUCCAAGGAUUCUUUUUAGAUUAAGACCCUGCGUAAACCUUUUUUACUGUCUCUUGUUGAUACAAAUCCCUCGGAUUCUUAGUAUAAUUGAGAGGGAUGCUGACGUAUUGGCAUGUGGCCACGUCAGAAUAUUGCAUGUACCUGGACACCAGGGGCUUAUUACAAAGGGCACUGUUUAGGCCCGGCUUCCACCAUAAAGACCGAAUACCUUAGGGAGUGUUCGGUGUCGUGAGUUUGGCCUUAUAUGCAUCAGCUCCGAAUCAUGUUUUUGGUCAAAUGUUGGGUUUGCCCGGCUCAUGUGUUUUGCUGCCUUACGUUCCACUCUAUCGGCACCAGGAGAACUACUGCGAUUGUGCCCUGGUUCAUCCGGACGAGCACCUCAGUAGAGAAAGCUGAAAACUGACUGUCAUGAUAUAGCGUGAGACUAGUCAACCACUCGAUGACCUAGCGGAAUCUUCGGGAUUGCUCCGCCUUAACGAAGGGCCGUUUCCCGGCCAGGCAUGUACGCACCCCGAAUUCGGAUGAGUGCGGAGCCACCAGGGGCUAUAUAGUAGCCCCACUGUCAAACUCCUCUGGCUAAGUGAAAGUGUUAAAGCAUUAUAGUCCGAUUGCCUAGUUCGCUGCGCUAUCACCUCCUUAAUGGACCAAGACGUUGGAUCAAGUGUGAACGUGUGUCUUCUGCGAACACCCCCGCAUUAUAUGCGUGGGGGCUGAAGCCGACGACUGCCAUCUUUCAGGUUAUAUACAUAUAUACAUAAACGGCCGCACAGGAGGCAUCAUAGUACUUUCGGGCAAAAGUAUAAAUACAGCCUUGAUAAACUCAAUAAAACAUUGUUUUAACAAUGGGAAUACGUGUCACUCAAACAUAAUAUUCUUCAAGCACUGAGCCUCUAUCAAACGAGCGCCUUCAAGAACUCCUUCAAAGUAGUGCUCGGCAGCCACUCGGCCUAUGGCCGAACCCUGUGCCGCAACAGUGGUGGCAUCCAUCUCCGCCCAGUAUAUUUUGACACGGGCAAGGGCCAUCGGCGAGCCUUCUAUGCACGCCGACCUCUUUACAGCAUCGAUGUGAUGCACAACGCCAAGGAAUUGUUGCACUAAGCUAAAAUAGCUAUUCGGCCUUGGCCCUCCUGGCCACAAAUGAUCCACAAUGGACCUCAUGGCCAGUCCGGAUAAUCUAUGGAGCUCGGCCCAACCGGUCAAUCACUCAUUCAGCAACAGCGGACGGGCUGGAGCGUGAAACUGUGACCAGAACAAUUUAUCCACUUCAGGACCUUUCUGAUCCUUGAAGUACUCGGUCGCAUCCGCAGCACUUGCAGCCAAAUCCAUGUACUCAUCCGCAGAACUACAUAGCCGGUCCAGAGGAGCAUAUUUCGGAUCUCCGAACUUAGUCCGCAACAAGAAGGACUUCCCAGAAACGAUAUCCGCAGCUUGAUUCAGCUCCUCCUUGUCGCUCUAAUUUUGGAGCGGGCUUCCUUGGCAGCCACCCGGGCCUUCUCCAGGUCCGUCGCCUUCACCCGGUUUUCUUCUCCAAGAAGCCGAUAACAGUCAGCAACAUUUUUUUACUCCAUGGCCAUCUUAGCAAUUUUUUCUUUGCUCCAGCAAUGUGCGACCUGUUCGGCCCUUAACUCUUCGGCCGCCUUUAAAGCGGUCGCAUUACUACUCCUUGCUUGAUCCUUGGCUCGGGUAAGCUCCGCCCGAAGGGUCUCCACGGUGGCAGCUCCAUCUGCAGUCACAACAUAUUAAAGAUACUAGCAUCAUGCUGCUCUUAGUAUGUGACAUUCACUAGAAGAAUCACCUACCCUGUGCCUCGUCAAGCCGCUUAUUGACAAGCACGAUGUCGGCAUCUGCCGCAUCCAGCUGCCGCUUUAGUUCGGCAUACCCAUCAGUCCGGCUAGCCACCGGAGCCUCCACCACCUGCACAUAAAGGCAGUCUGGUUACUACCUGGGACUAUGAUCCUCCGUUUGCCACCGUUUUCGACGACAACCAGAGUCUCAAGGCUACUAUCUACACAGGGCACAUCUAAAAAUGUGUGGUACUUUCAAAAAUGUACAUCAUUUCGCGUACCUCAAAACCCGUCAGUAGACUCGUAAAGGCUUCAUGCGGCGCUUUUGGCAGACGAAAUCCUUUCAAUCACCGUACCCAUCAAUGUGUGGUGCUCUUCUGAGAUAGCCGCUUUCUCCAGCAGAUCCCUUCGUACAUCCGACCGCACACCAGACGGUGCAGGACUCUUUUGAUUUCUCUCUUUGAGAGCCGGAUACUGAGGACUUUGGGUGGCCACAUGAUUACCUUCUGGCCUUGCCGGAUCAGGAGAAGCCCUCCGCGAUGACACCUCGGGGUCGCCCUCUACGUAAGGCGGUGUGGCAGGGGGAGGCGUUUCGCUCUCCAUCAUCUCCGGAAGAAGAUCCCCCGAAGACGAGCUCUGCUGAGAAGGGCUAAGAUCCGAACUACAAGAUAAAUGCUUCGAUUAUUUUCCUCAGAAAUAGAGCAAGAUAUUUUCGUUAUUGAAUACCCUUUUACUUACAGCUUAGUAGAGGGCUGAUCCCCGCGCGGACAUUGUGCGGCAAGAGUACCCUCCAGGGCAGGUCCCUCUGGCGGAGAUUUCUUCUCCCGUUUGGAAACCUUAGUUUCCGGAUCUUCAGAGGUAGACCUCUUCCUUCCCCGGGGAGAGAGAAUGUCAAAUUCUUCCCCUUGGUUAUCCUCCCUCGCGGAGGUGCUCAUUCCCUCGAUGGGAAUAGGUAGCGACGGAGGCCCGCUUUCGCCCUCUUUAUUCCCCCCUUCAUCUUCCUUUGAGGGCACUAGACAAGGUGCUGGCUCGAGCAUCUUUUCCAGCACCGGAUUGUCCAAGCCUUCAGGAAGGGGGGCCGAACACCGGAUCAUCUUCGCCUUUGUUAUCCAGUCCUGGUUAAAGAGUGAUUCUUCAAAAUGAUGUCAUGAUAAAUAAAAAGACAGUGUGUUCGGCCAUGGGAUUACUUACUUGGGGAGCAGGGCAGUUGCAGCUCAGGCCCACGUCCUCGGUAGUGUCCGGACACUCUAUUUGGGGUCCGAAGAACGAUUUGUACAUCUCCUCGUGCGUCAUGCCGAGGAAAUUCUGAAUAGUGCGCGGUCCUUCCGGGUUGAAUUCCCACAUGCGGAGGGUCCGGCGUUUGCAAGGCUGGACUCGACGAACCAGCAUAACUUGCAUUACCAUAACCAGACUAAAAUCCCCCUCGAAGAGAUCUCAGAUACGGCUCUACAGUAUUGGCACGUCCUUGGCUGGACCCCCGAUCAGCCCCCUGCUGAUCCAUGACAUCAGUUGUGGUGGAGGGCCCGAGCGAAAGGUGGGGGAAGCUACCCACUUGGCACUUCGGGCAGCUGUGACGUAAAACCACUCCCGUUGCCACAAUCCGGACACCUCUGGAAAGGAACCCUUUGGCCAUGGAGCGUCAGCAAUUUUUCUUAUUAGAGCACCUCCGCACGCUACGUACUGCCCCUCGACCAUCUUUGGCUUCACAUUGAAGGUCUUGAGCCAUAGGCCAAAGUGAGGGGUAAUGCGGAGGAAGGCCUCACAGAUGACAAUAAAUGACGAGAUGUGAAGAAGGGAAUCCGGGGCCAGAUCUUGAAAAUCCAGCCCAUAAUAGAACAUGAGGCCCCUAACAAAAGGAUCCAGAGCGAGGCCUAGUCCUUGGAGGAAGUGGGAGAUGAACACAACGCUCUCAUUGGGUUCGGGAGUAGGGACGACCUGCCCUCGGCCGAGCAGCCUAUGCGAAAUUUCAGCGGUCAGAUAUCAGGCCUCCCUCAACUUCUUGAUGUCCUCCUCCGUGACGGAGGAAGGCAUCCACCUGCCUUGAAGGCUGGAUCCGGACAUGAUUGAAGGUCCGGGGCACCUGACCUGGGCUUUGGGUGUUAGAACUCGAGGCGGGGGAAGGAUUCGAUUGAGCACGGGAGGGAAAAAAGAAAAAGCCUUGUCCCUUUAUAAAGGGGAUGAAUAUCAGGCGUCCUCCUCGUAGCCGUUCUAGACUUACCUAAAAUCUAGGAGUCAUACCAACAGGCACGGUUGGGUUACCCACAUUUGUAUUGAUGAGAAUCCCGUGAUAAGGGGAACACGAUCUCUGCUUUGACAAGACGUGUCAAGAAACCGCCUCGCGUUAUGUGCGGGGCUGGUUAAAGAAAAAUGGUUCAAAUAAUUACCGGGCCGUGGCGUGAUGUCAUGCUGCCAAAACAUGUCAGCAAAUUGGACUUGUGGAAAUAUUAUUCUCUCUACAAUGGUAUGUGGAACUUAUUUUGCAGGGUCGGACACUAUCCUUGUAUUCAAACUCUUCCGUGGUGUAUUCGGAGGAGGAACCCGCCUUGCAAUGCCGAAGACAACACUGCAUGCCAGACUCAUCAUCAUUGAAGCCUGGUUCAGGGGCUACUGAGGGUAUCCUGGAUUAGGGGGUCUCCGGAUAGCCGAACUAUAUCCUUUGGCCGGACUGUUGGACUAUGAAGAUACAAGAUUGAAGAUUUCGUACCGUGUCCGGAUGGGACUCUACUUGGCGUGGAAGGCAAGUUAGGCAAUACGGAUAUGGAUAUCUCCUCCUUUGUAACCGACCUUAUGUUACCCUAGCCUCCCUCGGUGUCUAUAUAAACCGGAGGGUUUUAGUCCGUAGGACAACAUACAAUCAUACCAUAUGCUAGCUUCUAGGGUUUAGCCUCUCUGAUCUCGGGUAGAUCAACUCUUGUACUACUCAUAUUAUCAAGAAUAAUCAAGCAGGACGUAGCGUUUUACCUCCAUCAAGAGGGCCCGAACCUGGGUAAAACAUCGUGUCCCCUGCCUCCUGUAACCAUCCGCCUUAGACGCACAUUUCGGGACCCCCUACCCGAGAUCCGCUGGUUUUGACACCGACACCCGCAGCACCAAGUGGGUAGCUGCACUCACGUUUCGCCCUGGCCCACCGUUACAGCUUGCAUCAUGGGCCAACAAGGGGCUGGAUUGGGGAUCAGUUGAUGAAGUGCGGACUCUACAAAGUCGCAUACGAACCCUCCUCGAGAGGGAUAUCGAUCUUGUCAGCGUGAUUCAAGUAAUGUUGAUUCGCCGAAUCCUACCAUGCCAACGUACGCCUCUCUGUAUGUGGGAGUUCAAUCCAGAAGGACCACGAUCCCUCCAACACUUCUUCGGCAUUACGCACAAAGGGAUGUGGAAGUUGUUUUUCGGAAAACGAAAACAUUGGCCGAACACUAUUGAGGACACAUGCCUCGACUGUAACUGUCCGGAUACCCCGGUAAGCACUUGACUUCCGAACACCCUUUUUUUAAGUAUGCUGUAAUACAUUAUUGAGCAAACUAUCUCCUCCUAGGGCUGGAUAAACAAAAGCGGAGCUGAUUAGGUGUCCGCCCCCCCCCCCUUUCCGAAGGUUUAGCGGAUCCUGUAUUAACAAGGAUCCUAUCCCCGACACCGUACCAGAUGCUUGUGAAGGAGGGAAAGGCAGAGAGGACCAAAGAUGGCCCCCAUCCCGAUGGUGUGCCAGACAAGAUUCCAUCGUCCGAAGAAAAAAAUGACGGGAAAGUCAACGUCUCUUCCCCCCAUGGGAAGAAAAGGGUCACCUCCGAAGAUUGGGAGGAAAAGGCUCAUAAACGAGGCAAGAUGCCUUCGUCGGGUGGCUCGGGCUUGGAGGACAACGUCAUCGCACAGUCCCAUGAUGAGGACAAGCCUCAGGCCAACUCGUAAGUGAACAAGGGUGUUUUAAACACGUCACACCCCUUUCUUGUAACGUCUAGAAUAUAUGUUUUUUUGUAGUUCGGCACGCAGUCUUCUUCAACAAUCCUCUUCCUCGGGGGAUCUUCUCCCGAGAUGAUGGAAAGCGAGACACCUCCACCAAUCUCGUCGCCCAAUAGGGCGGAUGACUUCAAGGUGUCGUAGCGGAGGGUAUCUCCCGAUCAACAAGUGGUGCGAGGGAUGACGAAGACACAACCCGAAGGUGAUACUUCGGUGGCCCAUGGUCCGGGGACCAACAGUAAAGGCCCCGAACAUUCCGGUCUACAGCCGGAUAUGAAUAAACGGAUUCCUUGAAAGGGAGGCCGUACUCCUUCAGCAGCCUCCGGAGUCCCAGAGGCGCCGGAUAUAUUGACGAACAUGCUGCGACAGGCGUCCGUCUCAGAGGAACAUCGUACCUUGAUGAGCACGGUGAUAGAAAAGGUCCUGGCCGCGAAAAGCGGAUUGAAUGAGGCCUUCAUGGGCCUACUAGGAUGCUUCGAGGUUUGUACCGUAAUAUGUUCGAUUGUGUUUUAUUCAAGAAUACACCUGUGCAUAGAUAGUAGCCCCUAAGACUCUGAUUGGCUUCCCAAGGGAGAUGGUUAUAUGAUCAAAAGAUAUGCCCAGGAAGUAAUAUGAUUGUUGGAACACAGGAUGUGACCUCCCCGGAAACUGUCUGGACUGUAGAGAUUGUGGAUUUGCAAGACAAGAUUGAUGAGGCAGAUACUGAUAUCACGCUUAUCAACAGGCGUCUUGACGAGUCGCAAGGUACAUGUUCAAAGCAAUCCAUACAUAUAAGUUUUUUAAUAUAAGCGUGACACUGAAAGUUGCAUACUGGAAUAUGCAUGGUUGCAGAUGGUGGUGCCGCCGUUGAGAUUCUUCGGGCGGAGCUGGCCCGGGCCAAGGAGUAGGCCUGGUUUAGUAAUGUGGCUGCCAAAAAGGCAUCGACCAAGUUAAAGGCCGAACAAGCUGCUCAGCACCAAGACGAGGAGAAAAUAUCCUCGAUGGUGCUCGAACUAAAAAAUACUACCAGCCGCUAUGAAUUCCUAGAGAAGGAGAAUAAAGCCAAAGCGGCUGAGCUUGACAAGGCCUUGCGAGAGGCGAAAGAAGCGCGGUCCGAAUCUAGAGCGGCCCGUGAGGAGAUCCGGCAAGUUGGGAAGAUUGCCGCUGGUAAGCCAUUUUUAUUACAGACAAAGUUCGGCGAUCCGAAUUAUGCUUAGCUUAACCAAGUGUGGAGUUCUCCAGAUGUGUUUUUGGACAUGCCGAAGAGUUCAUCCGAUGCGGCGCAGUUUUACCAAGCGCAAGAGGGAUAUGCAAUGGAGAAGCUUUUCUGGUCAUAGUUUGGCGCAUCAAAACGCCCUCUACUGCUGAAUGAACAAAUGUCCCAACUGGUCGAGCUUCACAAGAUGUCCACAGCUGCCAUGAAGAACGUCAUACUUUAGCUAUGGCCGACUGAGCCGAUUCCGAAUAGCUAUUUCGGCUUGGUGCGGUGGCUUGCUGAUGCGGUGCCACGUAUCGACGCCGUGAAGUGGUCGACAUGCAUUGAAGGUGCACGGAUGGCCUUUGCCCGAGUCAAGACAUACUGGGGGAAGAUGAAGGCCGUCGAUGUUGCAUUGCAGGGUCCACCCAAGGGCAAGGACCAUCACGCACCAGAGCAAUACUUUGAGGACAUCUUAGAGGCUGCCCGCUUGAUAGAGGGUCAAUGUUCGAAAGGCAUAAUAUUCAAGUGAACUCUUUACAAAUUGUAAAAGACAAUUGUUAUAAUCAAUCUAUAUUUUGAUUUUGCCUAAAGGCUUUUGUUCCUCAUGUGCGGCUGUUUGUAUGUGAACUGAAAGUUUUCCAGUCAUCGGCUUCAGCCCCUGAUGACCCACAAGUAUAGGGGAUCUAUCAUAGUCCUUUGGAUAAGUAAGAGUGUCGAACCCAACGAGGAGCAGAAGGAAAUGAUAAGCAGUUUCCAGCAAGGUAUUCUCUGCAAGUACUGAAAUAAGUGGUAACCGAUAGUUUUAUGAUAGGAUAAUUUGUAAUGAGCAACAAGUAACAAAGGUAAAUAAAGUGCAGCAAGGUGGCCCAAUCCUUUUUGUAGCAAAGGACAAGCCUGGACAAACUCUUAUAUAGAUAAAAGCGCUCCUGAGGACACAUGGGAAUAUCAUCAAGCUCGUUUUCACCACGCUCAUAUGAUUCGCGUUCGGUACUUUGAUAAUUUGGUAUGUGGGUGGACUGGUGCUUGGGUACUGUCCUUACUUGGACAAGCAUCCCACUUAUGAUUAACCUCUAUUGCAAGCAUCCGCAACUACAACAAAAGUGUUAAGGUAAACCUAACCAUAGCAUGAAACAUAUGGAUCCAAAUCAGCCCCUUACGAAGCAACGCAUAAACUAGGGUUUAAGCUUCUGUCACUCUAGCAACCCAUCAUCUACUUAUUACUUCCCAAUGCCUUCCUCUAGGCCCAAAUAAUGGUGAAGUGUCAUGUAGUCGACGUUCACAUAACACCACUAGAGGAGAGACAACAUACAUCUCAUCAAAAUAUCGAAUGAAUACCAAAUUCACAUGACUACUAAUAGCAAGACUUCUCCCAUGUCCUAAAGAACAAGCGUAACUACUCACAAAGCAUAAAUAUGUUCAUAAUCGAGGGGUAUUAAUAUGCAUAUAGGAUCUGAACAUAUGAUCUUCCACCAAAUAAACCAACUAGCAUCAACUACAAGGAGUAAUUAACACUACUAGCAACCUACUAGCACCAAUCCCGGACUUGGAGACAAGAAUUGGAUACAAGAGAUGAACUAGGGUUUUGAGAGGAGAUGGUGCUGAUGAAGAUGUUGAUGGAGAUUGCCCUCUCCCGAUGAGAGGAGCAUUGGUGAUGACAAUGGCGAUGAUUUCCCCCUCCAGGAGGGAAGUUUCCCCGGCAGAACAGCUCCGCCAGAGCCCUAGAUUGGUCCCGCCUCGUGGCGGCGGAGUUUCUUCUGAGAACAUGGCUUAUUAUUUUUUCCCAUCGAAAGACUUCAUAUAGCAGAAGAUGGCCACCGGAUAGCCACUAGGGGGCCCACGAGGUAGGGGGGUGCGCUCAGGGGGGUAGGGCGCGCCCCCCACCCUCGUGGGCAGGGUGUGGCCCCCCUGGUGAAUCUCUUCCGCUGAGUAUUUUUUAUAUAUUCUGAAAACGUCUUCCGUGAAGUUUCAGGACUUUUGGAGCUGUGCAGAAUAGGUCUCUACUAUUUGCUCCUUUUCCAGCCCAGAAUCCCAGCUGCCGGCAUUCUCCCUCUUCAUGUAAACCUUGUAAAAUAAGAGAGAAUAUGCAUAAGUAUUGUCACAUAAUGUGUAAUAACAGCCCAUAAUGCAAUAAAUAUUGAUAUAAAAGCAUGAUGCAAAAUGGGCGUAUCAACUCCCCCAAGCUUAGACCUCGCUUGUCCUCAAGCGAAAAGCCAAAAUCGAAAAAUAUGUCCACACGUUUAGAGAUAGAGGUGUCGAUAAAAAUAAAAUACGGACAUGAGGGCAUCAUGAUCAUUCUUAGAACAACAACUUACAUAAUUCUUGUCAUAUGAUUCCUUAUGCUAGAUUAAUAAUUCAAUCACAAUUUCAACUAUGAAUCGUAAACUUCAUUGAAAACUAACAAACUAUAAUCUCAGUCAUUGGAGCAAUUGCAAUUUAUCAUAACAUAGGAAAGAGUCAAUAUAUAAGAGCUUUUCAGCAAGUCCACAUACUCAACUAUCAUAUAGUCUUUCACAAUUGCUGACACUCACACAAUACUUAUGGGUAUGGAGUUUUAAUCGGACACGGAGAAAGAUAGGGGCUUAUAGUCUUGCUUCCCAACAUUUUACCUCAAGGGUAAUGUCAACAAUAAUAGUUCAUGAAAACUCACAUCCAAUUAGCCAUAUAUACCAAGAUCUUUCCAACAUACUGUGCUCGCCAAAGGAUAAAGUGUAAAAAGGAAUGGUGAAGAUCACCAUGACUCUUAUGCAAGGUAGGAGAUAAAAGUAGAAGAUAAGCCUUUCGCAGAGGGAAGUAGAGGUUGUCAUGCGCUUUAAUGGUUGGAUGCACAGAAUCUUAAUGCGAAAGAACGUCACUUUAUAUUGCCACUUGUGAUAUGGACCUUUAUUAUGCAGUCUGUCGCUUUUAUUUCUUCCAUAUCACACAAUCGUAUAAAGCUUAUUUUCUCCCACGCUAAUAAGUCAUACAUAUUUAGAGAGCAAUUUUUAUUGCUUGCACCGAUGACAACUUACUUAGAGGAUCUUACUCAAUCCAUAAUAAAACUGGUUUAAGGGUAUUUGGAAGCACAAGUAGUAUCUCUACUUGGUGCGAUGAAUUUGGCUAGCAUGAGGGAGAAAGGCAAGCUCAACCAUGUUGUAUGAUCCAUGACAAUAUAAUUUAUCUCAGAUGUAAGAAACCAUAACCCAUUACGUUGUCUUCCUUGUCCAACGUCAACUCUUUUAGCAUGUCAUAUUUUAAUGAGUGCUCACAAUCAUAAAAGAUGUCCAAGAUAGUAUAUUUAUAUGUGAAGACCUCUCUUUCUUUAUUACUUCAUAUUAUUUGCAACGAUGACCAAAACUAUGCUUGUCAACUCUCAACAACUUUUAUUCAUCAUACUUUUUCUAUGUGAGCUCACCACUCUCCAUAAGACUCACAUGAUCUCUUUGUUUAUUUUUAUUUCUUUCUCUUUUCUUUCUCUUAGGAUCAUGGCAAAAUAAUCAAGCCCUUGACUCAACACUAAUCUUUAUUAUAUAGCUCACGGACUCGAUUACAUAGAAGGACUAUAAAGAAAAACUCACAACUAGAUCAUACUAAGACUUUUAUUCCACUAAAUCAAGAUAUUACCAAAAGUAUCGAACUAAGAAAAAUGGUAAAGAUAAAGAUAAAGGUGAUACGAUACCGGGGCACUCCCCCAAGCUUGGCAGUUGCCAAGUGGAGUGCCCAUACCAGAUGCUCAAUUAUUUUUUGUUGGUGCAUAAGGUGGAGUUGUUGAUGAUGGACAGUCGCACAUCGAGCGUAGGAGGUCUUCUAACUUGCGGAUAAUGCCCUUGAGUGCGAUGAUAUGCUCCUUCAACAAAAUAUUUUCACAUGUGAGAUACUUAUUUUGUAUAUGAGCUAACUCAAUCAUCUUGAAAGCUUCGAUUUUUUUUGGGGUAAGAAGAUUGUGAUCAAGUUGAAGGGCGUCUUCUGUUGCCGGAACUUGGUCCUCCAUGGCCUUCUUGAUCCCUUCAUCCUUGUUGAUCUCCAUGGGUUCUUAUCUCUUCAGCUCUAUCUUCAUUAGCCAAGCAUCAUUGCCCUCAUGGUUGGAGGAGGAGGAGGGAGACGACAUAGUGCCUGGCCUUGACAACCCUGACAGAAAACAACUCGAAACAAAGACAGGAGAUUUUUGCAUGAUACGGGAGUCAAAACCUCCGGGGGAUUAUAUAAUGAAUUUUUACCGGCCAAAAUACGUGUCGUGUAAGAAAACGGAGUCCGGGAAGUGCACGAGGAGCCCACGAGGUAGGGGGCGCACCAAGGGGGUAGGGCGCACUCUCCACCCUCGUGGAGCCCUCGUGUCCUUCCCGGACUGCUUCUUAUUUUUCUAUUUUUCUAAAUACUCCAAAACGGAGAAAUAUUCCCUUAAAAACUGUUUUGGAGUCGGUUUACUUACCGUACCACAUACCUAUUCCUUUUCGGAGUCUGGAGCGUUCCGGAAAGUGUCCCUUAUGUAUUCCUCCAGGGUUACGGUUUCAAUAACAUUGGUUUCAACAUUUAUGGGAUUACCUAAGAUAUAAUGUUUGAUUCUUUGACCGUUCACCACCUUCGGAUUUGUGCCUUCGAAGUUGUUGAUUUUUAUGGCACCGGAACGAUAGACCUCCUCGAUAACGUAAGGACCUUCCCAUUUAGAGAGAAGGUUUCCAGCAAAAAAUCUUAAACGAGAGUUGUAUAGCAAUACAUAAUCACCAACACUAAACUCACGCUUUUGUAUCCUUUUGUCAUGCCAUCUUUUAACUUUUUCUUUAAACAACUUGGCAUUUUCAUAGGCUUGGGUUCUUGAUACGUCUCCAACGUAUCUAUAAUUUUUGAUUGCUCCAUGCUAUAUUAUCUACUAUUUUGGACUAUAUUGGGCUUUAUUUUCCACUUUUAUAUUAUUUUUGGGACUAACCUAUUAACCGGAGGCCCAGCCCAGAAUUGUUGUUUUUUUGCCUAUUUCAGUAUUUCAGAGAAACAGAAUAUCAAAUUGAGUCCAAACGGAAUAAAACUUUCGGGAACGUGAUUUUCUCACUGAACGUGAUCCAGGAGACUUGGACCCUACUCCAAGGAGUCAAAGAGGCGGUCACGAGGGUGGGGGGCACGCCCACCCCCCUAGGGCGCGCCCCCUGCCUCAUGGACCCCUCGGUGCUCCACCGCCGUACUCCUUCCUCCUAUAUAUACCUACGUACCCCCAAACGAUCAGAACAGGAGCCAAAAACCUAAUUCCACCACCGCAACUUUUUGUAUCCAUGAGAUCCCGUCUUGGGGCCUGUUCUGGAGCUCCACCGGAGAGGGCCGUCAUCACGGAGGGCUUCUACAUCAUCAUAGCCCCUCCGAUGAAGUGUGAGUAGUUUACCUCAGACCUUCGGGUCCAUAGUUAGUAGCUAGAUGGCUUUUUCUCUCUUUUUGGAUCUCAAUACAAAGUUCUCCCCCUCUCUUGUGGAGAUCUAUUCGAUGUAAUCUUCUUCUUUUUGCGGUGUGUUUGUUGAGACCGAUGAAUUGUGGGUUUAUGAUCAAGUCUAUCUAUGAAUAAUAUUUGAAUCUUCUCUGAAUUCUUUUAUGUAUGAUUGGUUAUCUUUGCAAGUCUCUUCGAAUUAUCUGUUUGGUUUGGCCAACUAGAUUGGUAGUUCUUGCCAUGUGAGAAGUGCUUAACUUUGGGUUCGAUCUUGCGGUGUCCUUUCCCAGUGACAGAAGGGGUAGCAAGGCAUGCAUUGCAUCGUUGCCAUCGAGGAUAACAAGAUCGGGUUUAUUUCAUAUUGCAUGAAUUUAUCUCUCUACAUCAUGUCAUCUUGCUUAAAGCGUUACUCUGUUUUUAACUUAAUACUCUAGAUGCAUGCUGGAUAGCGGUCGAUGAGUGGAGUAAUAGUAGUAGAGGAAGAAUCGUUUCGGUCUACUUGUCAUGGAUGUGAUGCCUAUAUACAUGAUCAUGCCUAGAUAUUCUCAUAACUAUGCUCAAUUCUGUCAAUUGCUCAACAGUAAUUUGUUCACCCACCGUAGAAUACUUAUGCUCUUGAGAGAAGCCACUAGUGAAACCUAUGGCCCCCGGGUCUAUUCUCAUCAUAUCAAUCUCCAUCACUUUAAUCUUGCUUUGCUUUUUUACUUUGCCUUUUACUUUUUACUUUGCAUCUCUAUACCAAAAAUACCAAAAAUAUUAUAUCUAUCAGAUCUCACUCUCGUAAGUGACCGUGACGGGAUUGACAACCCCUAAUCACGUUGGUUGCGCGUAGCUAUCGUUUUGUGCAGGUAUGAGGGACUUGAGCGUGGCCUCCUACUGGACUGAUACCUUGGUUCUCAAAAACUAAGGGAAAUACUUAUGCUACUCUGCUACAUCAUCCUUUCCUCUUCGAGGAAAUCCAUCGCAAGCUCAAGAGGUUGCAAGAAGAAUUUCUGGCGCCGUUGCCGGGGAGUCUACGCAAAAAGUCAACAUACCAAGUACCCGUCACAAUCCCUAUCUCUCGCAUUACAUUAUUUUCCAUUUGCCUCUCGUUUUCCUCUCCCCCAGUUCACCCUUGCCGUUUUAUUCGCCCUCUCUCUCUCUAUCCUCCCUCUCUAUUUGCCUCUUUUUGCCCGCUUGCCUUUUUGUUUGCUCGUGUGUUGGAUUGCUUGUUUGUCGCGAUGGCUCAAAAUACUACCAAAUUGUGUGACUUCACCAAUACCAAUAAUAAUGAUAUCCUUAGCACUCCAAUUGCUCCUCUUGCCAAUACUGAAUCUUGUGAAAUCAAUACUGCUUUGUUGAAUCUUGUUAUGAAAGAUCAAUUCGCCGGCCUUCCUAGUGAAGAUGCCACUACUCAUCUGAAUAGCUUCGUUGAUUUAUGUGAUAUGCAAAAGAAAAAAGAUGUCAAUAAUGAUGUCGUUAAAUUGAACCUAUUUCCUUUUUCUCUUAGAGAUCGUGCUAAAGCUUGUUUUUCGUCUUUGCCUAAAAAUAGUAUUGAUUCUUGGAACAAGUGCAAAGAUGCUUUUAUCUCUAAGUAUUUCCCUCCCGCUAAGAUCAUCUCUCUUAGAAACGAUAUUAUGAACAUUAAGCAACUUGAUCAUGAACAUGGUGCACAAGCUUGGGAGAGAAUGAAAUUAAUGAUACGUAAUUUCCCUACUCAUGGUUUGAAUUUGUGGAUGAUUAUACACAAAUUUUAUGUCGGAUUGAAUUUUGCUUCUAGAAAUCUUUUAGAUUCGGCCGCGGGAGGCACUUUUAUGGAAAUCACUUUAGGAGAUGCUACUAAACUCCUAGAUAAUAUUAUGGUUAAUUAUUCUCAAUGGCAUACUGAAAGAUCUUCUAAUAAAAAAGUGCAUGCGAUAGAAGAAAUCAAUGUUUUGGGUGGAAAGAUGGAUGAACUUAUGAAAUUAUUUGCUACUAAGAGUGUUUCUUCUGAUCCUAAUGAUAUGCCUUUGUAUACUUUGAUUGAGAAUAACAAUGAAUCUAUGGAGGUGAAUUUUGUUGGUAGGAAUAAUUUUGGUAACAACGCUUAUAGAUGGAAUUUUAAUCCUAGGCCAUAUCCUAGUAAUUCUUCUAAUAAUUAUGGGAAUUCCUACAACAACUCUUAUGGAAAUUAUAAUAAGAUGCCCUCGGAAUGUGAGAAUAGUGUUAAAGAGUUUAUGAAUUCACAAAAUAAUUUUAAUGCUUUGCUUGAAGAUAAAUUGCUUAAAGUUGAUGAGUUGGCUAGGAAAGUUGAUAGAAUUUCUCUUUAGGUUGAUUCUUUAAAGCUUAGAUCUAUUCCUCCUAAGCAUGAUAUCAAUGAGUCUCUCAAAGCCAUGAGAAUUUCCAUUGAUGAGUGCAAGGAAAGAACCGCUAGGAUGCGUGCUUCCAAAGAUGCCUUUAUUAAAGCGCAUUCUUCCAAUUCCUAUGAAAAUCAAGAUGAAGAUCUAAAAGUUAUUGAUGUGUCACCUAUUAAAUCUUUGUUUUGCAAUAUGAAUCUUGAUGAAACUGAAUAUGAUCUUCUUUUACCUAGAAGGAGUUCUAAAAAUUCGGAGUAUUUAGAUCUUUAUGAUGAAAUUGAUGAAAGUGGGAUUGAAAGAAAUAAAAAUCUAGAUGUUGCUAAACCCACUAUAUUGGAUUUCAAGGAAUUUAAUUAUGAAAGUUGCUCUUUAAUUAAUUGUAUUUCCUUUAUGCAAUCCGUGCUAAAUUCUCCACAUGCUUAUAGUCAAAAGAAAGCCUUCGCCGAACAUAUUUUUGAUGCCUUGAUGCAAUCUUAUGAAGAAAAACUUGAGUUGAAAGUUUCUAUCCCUAGAAAACUCUAUGAUGAGUGGGAACCAACUAUUAAAAUUAAAAUUAAAGGUCACGAGUUUUAUGCUUUGUGUGAUUUGGGUGCUAGUGUCUCCACUAUCCCCAAAACUUUGUGUGAUUUGCUAGAUUUCGCAAUUUUGAUGAUUGCUCUCUAAAAUUGCAUCUUGCAGAUUCUACUAUUAAGAAACCUAUGGGAAGGAUUAAUGAUGUUCUUAUUGUUGCAAAUAGAAAUUAUGUGCCCGUAGAUUUAAUUGUUCUUCAUAUAGAUUGCAAUCCUUCUUGCCCUAUUAUUCUUGGUAGACCUUUCAUUAGAACGGUUGGUGCGAUUAUUGAUAUGAAGGAAGGGAAUAUUAGAUUUCAAUUUCCAUUAAAAAAGGGCAUGGAACAAUUUCCAAGAAAGAAAAUAAAAUUGCCAUAUGAAACUAUCAUGAGAUCCACUUAUGGAUUGCCUACCAAAGAUGGCAAUACCUAGAUCUAUCCUCGCUUUUAUGCCUAGCUAGGGGCGUUAAACGAUAGCGCUUGUUGGGAGGCAACCCAAUUUUAUUUUUAUUCCUUAAUUUUUGCUCCUGUUUCAUAAUAAAUAAAGUAUUUAGCCUCUGUUUUGGUUGUGUUUUUUGUGUUUAAUUAGUGUUUGUGCCAAGUAGAACCGUUGGGAAGACUUGGGGAAAGUCUGGUUGAACUUGCUGUAAAAAACAGAAACUUUUGCGCUCACGAGAACUGCUGCCAUUUUUAUUUGGGGAGUGAUAUUUAGUUAAUUCUUUUUGCAGAUGAUUAAUAGAUAAAUUCCUCACGUCCAGAAAUUUAUUUUAGAAUUUUUGGGGUUCCAUAUAUUGCUCUAGCUACCGAUUACUACAGACUGUUCUGUUUUUGACAGAUUCUGUUUUUCGUGUGUUGUUGCUUAUUUUGAUGAUUCUAUGGUUAGUAAAAUAGUUUAUAAUUAGAAGUUGGAAUACAGUAGGUUUAACACCAAUAUAAAUUAAUAAUGAGUUCAUUACAUUACCUUGAAGUGGUCUUUUGUUUUCUUUCGCUAACGGAGCUCACGAGUUUUCUACUUUAAGUUUUGUGUUGUGAAGUUUUCAAGUUUUGGGUUAAUUCUUGUGAUGGAUUAUGGAACAAGGAUUGGAAAGAGCCUAAGCUUGGGGAUGCCCAUGGCACGCCCAAUAUAAUCCAAGGACACCAAAAAGUCAAAGCUUGGGGAUGCCCCGGAAGGCAUCCCCUCUUUCGUCCACUCCCAUCGGUAAUUUACUUGGAGCUAUAUUUUUAUUCACCAACAUGAUAUGUGUUUUGCUUGGAGAGUCUUGUAUUAUUUUUGUCUUUGUGUUUUAGUAUGCCACAAUCAUCCUUGCUGUACACACCUUUUGAGAGAUCCAUACAUGAAUUAAAAUUUGAUAUAAUACUCUAUGUGCUUCACUUAUAUCUUUUUGAGCUAAGUAAUUUUGCUCUAUGUGCUUCACUUAUAUCUUUUGAGCUAUGUAAUUUUGCUCUAUGUGCUUCACUUAUAUCUUUUUGAGCUAAGUAGUUUUGCUCUAUGUGCUUCACUUAUAUCUUCUGAGCGUUAUAAUUUUGCUCUAUGUGCUUCACUUAGAUCUUUUAGAGCACGGUGGUGGAUUUGUUUUAAAGAAACUAUUGAUCUCUCAUGCUUCACUUAAAUUAUUUUAAGAGUCUUAAUAGCAUGGUAAUUUGCUUAAUGAUAACAUGCUUGGUAUUCAAUAUUUGUGAAACUUUCUUUUGAGUGUGUUGAAUACUAAGAAAAGUUGGAUGCUUGAUAAUUGUUUUGAGAUAUGGAGGUAGUAAUAUCAAAGUCAUGCUAGUAGAGUAAUUCUGAAUUUGAGAACUGCUUGAGUUAAAGUUUGCAAGUCCCGUAGCAUGCACGUAUGGUAAACGUUAUGCAACAAAUUUGAAACAUGAGGUGUUAUUUGAUUGUCCUCCUUAUGAGUGGCGGUCGGGGACGAGCGAUGGUCUUUUCCUACCAAUCUAUCCCCUAGGAGCAUGCGCGUAAUACUUUGGUUUUUGAUGGCUUGUAGAUUUUUGCAAUAAGUAUAUGAGUUCUUUAUGACUAAUGUUGAGUCCAUGGAUUAUACGCACUCUCACCCUUCCAUCACUGCUAGCCUUUACGGUACAGUGCAUUGCCCUUUCUCACAUCGAGAGUUGGUGCAAACUUCGCCAGUGCAUCCAAACCCCGUGAUAUGAUACGAUCUUUCACACAUAACCCUCCUUAUAUCUUCCUCAAAACAGCCACCAUACCUACCUAUUAUGGCAUAGCCAUUCCGAGAUAUAUUGCCAUGCAACUUUCCACCAUCCAGUUUAUCAUGACACAUCCAUCAUUGUCAUAUUUCUUAGCAUGAUCAUGUAGUUGACAUAGUAUUUGUGGCAAAGCCACCGUUCAUAAUUUUUUCAUACUUGUCACUCUUGAUUCAUUGCAUAUCCCGGUACACCGCCGGAGGCAUCCAUAUAGAGUCAUACUUUGUUCUAGUAUCGAGUUGUAAAUAAAUAAAAGUGUGAUGAUCAUCAUUUAAUAGAGCAUUGUCCCCAAAAAAAGGCCAAAGAAAAAAACAAGGCCCAAAAAAGAGAAAAUAAAUAAAAAGGGGCAAUGCUACUAUUCCGUUUUCCACACUUGUGCUUCAAAGUAGCACCAUGUUCUUCAUAUAGAGAGUCUCUUGAGUUAUCACUUUCAUAUACUAGUGGGAAUUUUCAUUAUAGAACUUGGCUUGUAUAUUCCAACAAUGGGCCUCCUCAAGUGCCCUAGGUCUUCAUGAGCAAGCAAGUUGGAUGCACACCCACUUAGUUUCUUUUGUUGAGCUUCCAUACAUUUAUAGCUCUAGUGCAUCCGUUGCAUGGCAAUCCAACUCCUUGCACUAACAUCAAUCGAUGGGCAUCUCCAUAGCCCAUUGAUUAGUCUCGUUGAUGUGAGACUUUCUCCUUUUUUGUCUUCUCCACAUAAUCCCCAUCAUUAUAUUCUAUUCCACCCAUAGUGCUAUAUCCAUGGCUCACGCUCAUGUAUUGCGUGAAAGUUUAUGAGUUUGAAAUUAUUAAGGUAUGAAACAAUUUCUUGGCUUGUCAUCGGGGUUGUGCAUGAUGAGAGCAUUCUUGUGUGACGAAAAUGGAGCAUGACUAAACUAUAUGAUUUUGUAGGGAUGAACUUUCUUUGGCCAUGUUACUUUAAGAAAACAUAAUUGCUUUGUUGGUUUGCUUGAAGUAUUAUUAUUCUUUAUAUCAAUAUGAACUUUUGUCUUAAAUCUUCCUAAUCUGAAUACUCAUACCACAAUUAAGAAGAUUUGCAUUGAAAUUAUGCCAAGUAGCACUCCGCAUCAAAAAUUAUCUUUUUAUCAUUUACCUACUCGAGGACGAGCAGGAAUUAAGCUUGGGGAUGCCUGAUACGUCUCCAACGUAUCUAUAAUUUUUGAUUGCUCCAUGCUAUAUUAUCUACUGUUUUGGACUAUAUUGGGCUUUAUUUUCCACUUUUAUAUUAUUUUUGGGACUAACCUAUUAACCAGAGGCCCAGCCCAGAAUUGAUGUUUUUUUGCCUAUUUCAGUAUUUCGGAGAAACAGAAUAUCAAACGAAGUCCAAACUGAAUAAAACCUUCGGGAACGUGAUUUUCUCACCGAACGUGAUCCAGGAGACUUGUACCCUACUUAAGGAGUCAAAGAGGCAGUCACGAGGGUGGGGGGCACGCCCACCCCCCUAGGGUGCGCCCCUGCCUCGUGGGCCCCUCGGUGCUCCACCGACGUACUCCUUCCUCCUAUAUAUACCUACGUACCCCCAAACGAUCAGAACAGGAGCCAAAAACCUAAUUCCACCGCCGCAACUUUCUGUAUCCACGAGAUCCCAUCUUGGGGCCUGUUCCGGAGCUCCGCCGGAGAGGGCCGUUGUCGGUGUCAAAACCGGCGGAUCUCGGGUAGGGGGUCCCGAACUGUGCGUCUAGGCCGGAUGGUAACAGGAGGCAAGGGACAUGAAGUUUUACCCAGGUUUGGGCCCUCUCGAUGGAGGUAAAACCCUACGUCCUGCUUGAUUUAUAUUGAUGGUAUGGGUAGUACAAGAGUAGAUCUACCAUGAGAUCGAAGAGGCUAAACCCUAGGAGCUAGCCUAUGGUAUGAUUGUUGACGUGUACGUUGUCCUACGGACUAAAACCCUUCGGUUUAUAUAGACACCGGAUAGGGUUAGGGUUACAUAGAGUCGGUUACAAUAGUAGGAGAUCUACAUAUCCGUAUCGCCAAGCUUGCCUUCCACGCCAAGGAAAGUCCCUCCCGGACACGGGACGAAGUCUUCAAUCUUGUAUCUUCAUAGUCCAGGAGUCCGGCUGAAGGUAUAGUCCGGCUAUCCGAACACCCCCUAAUCCAGGACUCCCUCGGUAGCCCCUGAACCAGGCUUCAAUGACGACGAGUCCGACGCGCAGAUUUUCUUCGGCAUUGCAAGGCGGGUUCCUCCUCCAAGUACUUCAUAGAAGAUUUUGAACACAAAGAUAGUAUCCGGCUCUGCAAAAUAAGUUUCCACAUAUUGCCAUAGAGAGAAUAAUAUUUACACCAAUCUAAUCUGCUGACAUAUUCCGUAGCGUGACACACCACGGCCAAGCCUUUAUCCGAGUCAUUUCAUUAUCCCACCUCAGCGCGUUAUGCGAGGCGGUUUCCUUGGCACGUCUUGUUAAAGCAGUGAUCGUGUCCCCUUAUCCUGGGAUUCUCAUCAAUACGGGCGUGGGUAACCCAACCGCGCCAUUGAUUACGGCGCUUGGAGAUAAGCGAGUUUUACCAGGCUGGUGGGGACAUGUAGUUGGGUCCACCCAUAUAAGGGGAUAAGGAUCCACCUUUUCACCUACGCCUUCUUCCUCCUUCGCCUAUCCAUUUUUGUGCACUCGAGCUCCAGCGCCCAAAUCUGCACUCCCCACCUCAACCUUCUCCAGCCAUGUCUGGAGCGGGAGGCAAGUGGAUGGUCUCCUCCGUCACGGAGGGACAUAUCAAAAAGCUGAGGAAGGCCGGAUACCUGUCUAACGAUAUCGCGUACCGGCUCCCCGAAAAGGGGCAGCUCAUCCCCACCCCUAGGCCCCAUGAGAGGGUGGUGUUCCUCCCCCAUUUCCUCCGCGGACUGGGCUUCCCUCUCCACCCAUUUGUCCGGGGGCUCAUGUUCUACUACGGCCUGGAUUUCCACGAUCUAGCCCCAAACUUUGUCCUCAACAUCUCAGCGUUUAUCGUCGUGUGCGAGGCCUUCCUCCGCAACCGCCCCCAUUUCGGCCUAUGGCUCAAGACUUUCAAUGUCAAGCCGAAGGUGGUGCGCGGCAACCAGGCAGAGUGCGGAGGUGCCAUGGUGGGCAAGAUGGCCAAUGUCCUAUGGCUCGAGGGCUCCUUUGUGGAGACCCUGAAGGGGUGGCAAUCGGGGUGGUUUUACAUCACCGAGCCACGUGACACCGAAUGGGUCGCACCCCCCGAGUUUUGAUCCGGACCCCCCACGUGGCUCACCUCCUGGAAGGAGAGGGGCCUGUCUUGGGGUAAAAAAGGAGAGCUGACCGGACUCCAAACAUGCAUCCAAACCCUGGCGGACAAGAAGCUCAAACUUGUCACAUAGUCCAGGUUAUGCUCAUCCGCCUGAUCCUCCCGUGUUAACAACGGGCUUUCAACCUGUGGGAGUUCGACCCGGCGCGGCACGGCACCAAACUCUGAGCAGGCUCUUUGACACGACAUACGAAGAUGCCUGGAAGGUGCUUUUCAAAGGCGCCGAGGCUCCCGCGUCCACUACCGAGGAUCGCGGAUUCAGUGCCCAGCAUCACGCUCUCGCGGUAAGAUGUUUUUUUCCUUUUAUAGGGUAUCAGUUUUUCAUAGUUUGACUCCAUGCGGGAUCUAAGCUCCCUUACCUCUGACAGGAUUGGCAGGUGACGUCCGGACAGAUCAACUGUCCGUCUGCUUUGCCCGAAGGCCCAGCGGACGCCCGCUUGGCGAAGCUGCUGGUUCCGGCACCCUAUGUGGUGCCGGAGAAGAAGGCUGUGAAAAAGGCCGUGGGGACUCGAAAGAGUGCCCGGCGCCAGGAGGUGUCGGAUCCAUCAUCCGAUGGUUCCGAGGCGCAUUCCUCCCAUGAAGACGAGGAGGAAGAAGAGGAGAACUCUCCCCCUCCAGCGGGAGGAGAGAAGAAAAGGAAGGUCGCCCUCUCUGGGGAGGCCGGAGGGUCCAAGAAGGGGAAAACCCUUCCUCCGGACUACUCCACCGACGCCGACGGCGGAGAGGAGUGGCAGCCCAGGGCCAAGCCCCUGGCAAAAUCGUAAGUAUCCGGAUACAAGAGUAAUUCAUAGUAUUCGUUUAUUGCACAGCUUUCCCUUACAUCGAAUAUGUUUAUGCAGCCCACCCAAAGACCGGCUCGACGCGUCAUCGAGCAGCUCAUUGGACUCGUNNNNNNNNNNNNNNNNNNNNNNNNNNNNNNNNNNNNNNNNNNNNNNNNNNNNNNNNNNNNNNNNNNNNNNNNNNNNNNNNNNNNNNNNNNNNNNNNNNNNNNNNNNNNNNNNNNNNNNNNNNNNNNNNNNNNNNNNNNNNNNNNNNNNNNNNNNNNNNNNNNNNNNNNNNNNNNNNNNNNNNNNNNNNNNNNNNNNNNNNNCACCGAAGUGUUGUCCCAACAGGUUCCAAGCCGGGAGGAGGUGGUCCUGGAGGCGUCGCAAGGCGACCUCCCGGACUCCAGGAGUAAAGGGGAUGAAACCCCCCAGGGCUCCAAGUCCGGCUCUAGGCCGGACACCGCUCCAGAACCUUCAAAGGUUCCAGAGUCCGGUGGUGGACCUCCUUCCAAGAGGAGCAAGUCCACUGUGCCGGCGGCCCCCGUCCAACCGGAGGCGCCGGACAAUAUGUUGGAGGCGCUCCAAGGCACCUCCAUCGACGAGGAGCACCGCACUAUUAUGAGUGCGGUGGUCCAGAAGGUUCAGUCCGCCAAGAGCGGACUGACUGAAGCUUGUACUAGCCUUUUGACAGGCUUUGAGGUAAGUAAAGAAUGUGUAAAUAAUACUAUCGCAUAGACAGUAGCCCCUGAUGCUCUCUUUGGCGUUCGGGAAGAAAAGCCGAAUAGAGGAUCAAAUAGAAUUCGCAGGAGUCUAACAAAAGUGAGUCAAUAUGCAUAUGCAGGCUUCCCUGCUUGCGUCUGCCGCACUGACUGCGGAAGUGGACACGCUAAAGCAGAACCUCGAGCGGUCCGAGCAAGAGCUCGGGCGUGCCAAGAAGCAGCUCGAGGAUAAUGAAGGUAAGAAAUACCUUGCUUUUAAAUAUAUAUAAAAAGGUACAAUUGCAAAGAAUGACAGGAUUAUCAUGGCUAUUUUAGGGGCCACAUCUGAAGUGGCGACCCUUAAGCAAGCGCUGGUCGAGGCCGAGAAGAGGGCGGCCUCAGAGCACACCGAGUGGGAGAAGUAUGAGGCCGAGGUUGGCAAGGUGAGGCAAGAGCUCCAGGCUCUCAUGGAAAAACAUGAGAGUUUGGAGCUUGACUCAAAGAUGCGAGCGUCCGAGCUCGCGGUGGCUAUUGAAAAUGCCAAGUCUGCCAAGGCCGAAUCCCAGAAGACCCUCCAGGAGUUGGAUGAGGUGAAGAAGAUAGCGGCGGGUAAGGCAUUCUUUAUGCAAAGCAAACACAUAAACGUGAGUUACUUGUUACUUACCCGAAUCCAGAGCUCUCCAGGAACGUUUGCAGAUCUUCCCCGGAGUGUGUCCGAUGCCGCCGCAUUCUAUCGAGCCGAGGAGGGCAGCUCGACAGAGAAGGUGUUCUGGUCUCAGUAUGCUGAGGACGGACACCCCGUGCCCCUGAGCGACCAGCUGAAGCAACUAGUCGAGCUCCACAAGGCGGCUGAACAGGCCAUGAAGGGCCUCAUUGUUCGGUUGUGGCCUGGAGGGGCUCUUCCUGGGAGCUAUUUCGGGCUGGUGCGGCGGUUGGUGGAGGCCUGUCCAAGGCUCGAAGUCAUCAAGCGCUCCGUCUGCAUUGAAGGUGCCCGUAGGGCCCUUGCCCAUGCUAAGGUGCACUGGGGCAAGCUGGAUGCUGAGAAGCUGGUGAAGGACGGGCCACCGCCGGGGAAAGAGCAUCGCAAGCCCGAGAAUUACUAUAAGGAUGUUCUAAAGGGUGCCUGCCUUGUGGCGGAUGAAUGUUCUAGGGAUGUAAUUUUUGAGUGAGACUUGCUCGUUUUGUCCUAUGCGCUGAAAACUUGUUUAUAUGCGCUAAGCAAUGCUGUUGGAAUUUAAAAUAUUACCUUAUGUGCGGCUGUUUAUCAAUUCUGAGAGAUGGCGAGUCGUCGGCUUCUGCCCCCGUGCCGCUAGUGCUGGGGUGUUCGGGGAUAAACCUGAGCGCUCUUUUUCCCAUGUUUGGGUCCUUCGAGGGAGGCGCUCAGCCCAACCAACAAGGCAAUCAGACUAUAAUGUGUGAACACUCUCACUUAGCGAUAGAAUUCUAUAAUUUUAAAUUUCGGCGAAGCCCCUGGUAUUUGCAAGACCAAGUUCCGGGCGCUAUCCACGCCCUGGCCGGACAGAGCCGGCUCCUCACCCUAAGCGGCAUAUGUCUUUAGGGACUCUAAAAACCUCUCGAACAGCGACCAACUCUCGCUUCAUCAUGACAGUCAGUUUUAGCUUUCUCCACUAAAGUGCUCGACCCAGCUCAACUGGGGCACAAUGGUAGUGGUUCUCCUAGUGCUACCUUAGCCGAUAUAGCGGAACGUAAGGCACCAAAACAUAGGAGCCGGGCAAACCCAACUAUUGACCCAAGACAUGAUUCGGAGCCGAUGCAUAUAAUGCUAUAAGUUCGGGGUGCCGCACUUGUUAAAGUGUUCUGACUUCUCACACCAUAUUGAGGGGUACUAAAGCCCCUGGCGUAUUUUGGCCGUACCAACGUGUACGGGUGCAACAUGUCGUUAAGGAACAUAUAUAAAGAAAAAAGGUAAUGCAAAAAUAGACGAAAGCUAUGCAUUGUUUAUUAAAAAGGGCUGCGAUCAAAGCAGAACGAUACAAAUAAUGCGAUAAGUGGAAGGUUGGACUAGUUAACAUGUCCGUUCCAGGGGCAAGCUGCGGAAUAGUAUGCGGAACAGGUAUACCGCUCGUGAUAGAGACCACCUGGGAGUUCUGUACUGCGGCGUGGCUUGUCUGCUUCCCUGGUUCUUGCAUCGUUUGUGCGGCAAUUGAACUGGCGAACAGGCCUUCCGAAGGAUGGAGUCCUGAAAGUAAGAUAAAAUUAAAAAAAUCGGCAGCCCCUGGUAUGGUUUAAGCCGUAUUUUUGGCCGUGACGUCAUGGUGCCCCUCCCCCUGUACCCAUGGUAUCUCUAGAGCGUAGUUAUGUACGCGAAGUACUGGCGUCGCCUUUUUGCGAGGGUUGGGGUUGGGGCCGCAUUGCUACGCCUGCUCGGAUCGUGCCAGGAGGUCUUGUUGUAGGUUACUCUGGGCGCGCUUCACGGUGUCCGGUCGUUUAGUGGCUGGACAGGAGAACUGCCUGCAGAGGCUGCUCUGUACUUGCGCUGCAAGGGCCGCCGUGUGCUCCUCCGUUCGGAGGGAGCGUUCGGUGUUUCCAUUGACCAUAAUUACUCCUCGAGGGCCUGGCAUCUUGAGCUUAAGGUAUGCAUAGUGCGGUACCGCAUUGAACUUAGUGAAUGCGGUUCGCCCGAGCAGUGCGUGAUAACCACCGCGAAACGGGACUAUGUCGAAGAUUAACUCCUCGCUUCAGAAAUUAUCCGGAGAUCCGAAGACCACUUCAAGUGUGACUGAGCCUGUACAGUUGGCCUCUACACCUGGUAUUAUGCCUUUAAAGGUCGUUUUGGUGGGCUUAAUCCUCGAGGGAUCUAUGCCCAUUUUCCGCACUGUAUCCUGGUAAAGCAGGUUCAGGAUGCUGCCGCCGUCCAUAAGGACUCUGGUGAGAUGAAAUCCGUCAAUAAUUGGGUCUAGGACCAAUGCGGCGAAUCCGCCAUGACGGAUGCUAGUGGGAUGGUCCCUUCGAUCAAAGGUGAUCGGGCAGGAGGACCAUGGGUUGAACUUUGGCGCGACUGGCUCUACCGCGUAUACGUCCCUUAACGCGCACUUCCGCUCCCUUUUCGGGACGUGGGUUGCGUAUAUCAUGUUCAGCGUCCGCACUUGUGGGGGAAAACCCUUCUGUCCACUGUUGUUCGGUGGCCGGGGCUCCUCGUCGUCAUCGCUAUGCAGCCCCUUGUCUUCAUUUUCGGCGUUCAACUUGCCUUCCUGCUUGAACACCCAACAAUCCCUGUUGGUGUGAUUGGCCGGCUUUUCGGGGGUGCCAUGUAUCUCGCACAAGUGGUCGAGUAUUCAGUCCAAACUGGACGGGCCCCUAGGAUUCCUUUUGAAUGGCUUUUUCCGCUGACCGGAUUUAGAGCCUCUGAAUCCGGCAUUGACUGUUGUAUCCUCCGCAUUGUCGCCGUUAAUGCGGCGCUUCUGCUUGUUGCGACGCGACCUGCCACUACUGUCCCUGGUGUCCGAAUUACCAGGGUUCUUGGUCAUAUUGUUGUUACGAGCAAGCCAGCUGUCUUCCCCCGCGCAAAAGCGGGUCAUGCGUGUCGUGAGUGCUGCCAUAGAUUUCGGCUUUUCCUGUCCAAGGUGCCGGGCCAGCCACUCGUCACGGAUAUUGUGCCUGAAGGCUGCUAGGGCCUCAGUGUCCGGACAGUACUAUGUGAUUUUUCUUUGUUAGGAACCGUGUCCAGAAUUUCCUGGUCGAUUCCUCUGGCUGCUGAAUUACGUAACUUAGGUCGUCGGCGUCUGGGGGUCGCACAUAAGUGCCCUGGAAAUUGUCGAGGAAUGCGGCUUCUAGGUCCUCCCAACAACGGAUUGACCCUGUUGGCAAGCUGUUAAGCCACUGCUGAGCUGGUCCUUUAAGCUUGAGUGGGAGGUAUUUGAUGGCGUGGAAAUCAUCGCCACGGGCCAUGUGGAUAUGAAGGAGAUAAUCCUCGAUCCAUACCGCACGAUCUGUUGUGCCAUCAUAUGAUUCGAUGUUUACGGGUUUGAAACCCUCGGGGAUUUGAUGAUCCAUUAUUUCGUCUAUAAAGCAUAGUGGGUGUGCGGCGCCUCUAUACUGGGCGAUAUCAUGACGUAGCUCCAAUGAGCUGUGUUCGGCCCUGCCGAAUUUGUGGCCGGCGUGACGGUUAGUGUCGGUGUCAAAACCGGCGAAUCUCGGGUAGGGGGUCCCGAACUGUGCGUCUAGGCCGGAUGGUAACAGGAGGCAAGGGACAUGAAGUUUUACCCAGGUUCGGGCCCUCUCGAUGGAGGUAAAACCCUACGUCCUGCUUGAGUAAUAUUGAUGAUAUGGGUAGUACAAGAGUAGAUCUACCAUGAGAUCGGAGAGGCUAAACCCUAGAAGCUAGCCUAUGGUAUGAUUGUUGUUCUGUAUGGUGUAUCGACUAGCAUAGCCCUGGUUUAUAUAAUGCACCAGAGGCCUAGUGUUAACAAGAGUCCUAGCCGAAUAUGCCAGUGGGGAGAAGUCCUUGUCUUGAUCGCCAAGUCUUUGUGGAAUCUUCCUUGUAUGCGGCAGCUGUCUGAACUGGCCCAUGAGUAUACGGCCAUGGGGGGCCUCGGCCCAAUCUAAUAUAUCGGGAGACGACGUGGUGAGUACCCCCUAGUCCAGGACACCGUCAGUAGCCCCCUGAACCAGUCUUCAAGUUAGGGACGCUCCAUGAUUCUUUCGAGAUGUUCUUCAUCUUCGGUCGUCGGUCUUGAAAACUGGUUCAACAAAUCUUCUUUAUCUUUGAUCUUGAGGAUCGCCGAAAUGCAUUCGCCGAGUUUACACGUCGGGUAUCCGAGGAGCCCCUUUAAGUUUCCGGCCUUUACCAAUGCCUUGUUAUGUUUAUGCCACACCUCGGGUUUGAAUUUGUUCCCGGCUGGCAGCGUCCUCUUGCGUCCGAGCUCCAACGCCGGAUUGUAUUCGAGGUAUCUUUUGCAACCGAGCACCAAUGCCGGACCGCUUCCCAGCUCUAACGCCGGAAUGUAUCCGAGCUCCAACGCCGAAUGUAUCCGAGCUCCAACGCCGGACUGUAUAUCCGAGCUCCAACGUCGGACUGUAUCCGAGGUGUCGUAAAUCACCUUGGUUCAAAGAAGUUUGAAGGAGUUUAGCCGAGCUUAAUGCCGGAAAUGCCCUCUAUGGAGCCAGCCACUAGCGCCCGAGCUUUAUGCCGGGCUGCUUCCGAGGUGGUGCACCACCCCGAAUGUGGGCCGAUUUUUGUGAAUAUUUUUUAUUGGUGCAAUUUAUUCUCUGCCGAGAUAUAUAGCCAGUAGCCCUCAAGGUGUGUAUCGGUCUAAAACCCGAGAUGCACCUGAAGGAUGACAUAAGACUGCUGAUCCCAAUAGCCGCUGAGACUCAGGUUGAUUUGCAAAAUGGGCCUGAGGAUCAAGUCCAAGCUCGGCUGAAUACUUCGGGACACUAAAAGCGGUGUGCUCAGUCCUCGAGACUCAGGUUGGGUGCGGCCGACCAACCUGAGGAUCAAAAUCUCCUCGGAAACUAUAUUGCACAUAAAAUUUUCUGCAUUGGACAAGCAAUGCAGUAGCCCCCGAGACACUGGUCGGGUGGUAACACCAGAUCAGGGGAUCAAUGUGCCCCUUUAGUAUUUGUAAAUAAUAAGCCCGAAGCCCAGUAGCCCCCGAGCAUUAAUGCGGGCACGGGUGGCCGAAUUAAGUUUCAAUAUCCAUAGUAAAAUCACAAAUUAUGUGUAAUGACUCUAUGUAUCCAAGUACUUUACGUCAUUAAUGCUCAGAUCCGCAUUGUACAAAACUUUGUUGACCGACCAUCGGCUUCCACCUCCUCGGCCAGUAGCCGAGGAGUGUUUGUCCUACUUUAUAAAGCCUUUAUGAGGGCAAAGAUUUACAACAAACAAGGCAAUCUGGCUAGACGGUUUUAUAAACAAAGGUACGCAGAGAGAUAUAUUACUGUUUAACAGAAGAAAUGUCUUCCAAAGAAAAUAGUCUCGCUAUCGGUUCCUUUCUUUGGGUUGUCAUGCUAAGCAUGAUCAUUAAACCACAGCUCUAAUGUAAGAGCAAAAUAUUGAGGAUUUAGUUUGGGAGGCCAGUUAAUAGCCCCCGGUAGAGUUCGGCGACAAUCGGGGUCAAGCCGUAAACACUUCGGCCAAAGUUAUGAACGGCCCAUCAUUUAACAUAGUCAUCGGAUCGCUGACCAGUUUACGCUUAUUGUGAAAGUCAGUUUUUGGCUUUCUCCACUGAGGUGCUUAACCAUGUGAGCUGGAAGCACAAUCGCAGUGGUUCUCCCUUUGCACGCCUAGCCGAACAAAACGGAACGUAGGAAGCAACUGCAGGAGCCGGGCAACCCAACUAUUGACCGAAGACACAAUUCGAAACCGAUGCAUAUAUAGAAAUAUCUGAGAAUGUUUUUGCCGAAUCCCUAAAGGUGUUCGGCGUUGCACUGCGAGACUAAUGCUGGAAAAGCACAAAUAGUUUAAAAGUGCCAAAAAGCUUGGAAAACCAAGAAACGUCAGUAAAAACAUGACGUCCGAACAAUAUCAAGUGUUCGGUGCCAAUCCGAAAGUUGGUCUUAGAAAAAAGAAGUGUUUCUAUCGUGCUUUAACAUGAUAUAUCCUAUCUCAAGACUUCGAGCGGGUCAGCCUACGGCUUCAACCUCCUAUCCCGAGGGCGGAGUACUUCUCAUCAGGCCAGUUUAGCAAACUAAACUCUAGCGGCUUUGAGAGAGAAAUUAGGCUCCCCGGCUAGUGACCGCACACUCGUGUCGAAAAAAGGUGUGAUAAAUAAUAAUAAAAAAACUUUGCAACGACUAAGAAGAAGAACACUUAUUAUAGAACGGCUCAAAUAAACUUAAGAGCCCCCAAGUGACUUGGGUAGAAGAAUGAUUGCAUGUACCGAAGUACUUAUAUCAUAUCUAUGUUCAACCGAACUUUAAACGCGUCUUGACCGACCGUCAGCUUCUCCCUCUUUAGUCAAGGACUGAAAAGUGUUAUGUACUCCAUCGGUCGAGAAUAUCGACGGUGUUUCCAAUAACCAGGCAAUCAGGCCAUAAGGCUGUAACAAACAAAGCGCGCUCAGGGAACUUAUGCUAUAUUACCGUGAAGUGUAAGAAGCAUCUUCGAAGAAAAUAGUACCCCCACCGAUACCUUUCUUCGGUGCUCAUUGUUAUUAUGAGACUUGUGCAAUAGAUUUUUUGUACUCAUGAGUUCCGAUGUGUGCCGACCAUCAUUGAAAACUAUAAGAGCGCUAGCUUUCGGCUUCACCCAGUCUGAGGUCCGGCUCGGGUGACCCGAUCGUGACAAUCGCAGAGGUGAUCCCUUUACUCCCUAGCCGAACAAUCGGGAGCGUAGGGGUAAACGCAGGAGCGAGGCAACCCAGCUUGCAAAUCGCUUAAGUCAAUAUGGUGCAUAUUGUGGCGUAAUACACGAACAAGGAACGAAGCCGUACAAGUAUAAUCAUUUGCAAGUGGAAAAGCUUCAUAAAGGAAGCCCCCAAAUGAAUUGGGUAUUUGAAUUUAUGCGUCACAAACAAAGUUUGGACAAGGAAAUUUUUUACACGCAACUUUUUUCCAAGAAAGUAUAAUGCUUGGUCGAACCGAACACAAGUUAGAAAUUAAAGCUUUGAGCAUGAAAGCGACUUAGCUGGUUAAUGUGUUCGGUAUUGAUGAUGCGGUUUGAGCUUGAUGUGGGGCAAGGUUCCAUCCCCCAAGCUGGUCCCGAGGUGGUGGAGCGAAGAGCUCGUGUCGGGGGUUUGGUGCGACAUAUGCCAACGGAUGGCUUAUCAUGGUGGCGGCGAGUAGAACAUCGCCGGUGCCUGGAAACGGGAUGAGGCGAAGACAUGCACGCCGGUGAAUCUUACCCAGCUUCGGGGCUCUCCGGGGAGAUAAUACCCCUACUGCUGCUCUGCGUGGUGUCCGCAUGAUCACUAUGGUCAAGAGUUUACACGGUUGCUCCUUGAGCUGUGUCUGGUGGUAGGAGAGGGCAAGGCUAGCUCUCUCCUCCUAUCUGGUAUGGUAUAGAACUACUGGCAUCCAACCCUUUGCAUGGGUGCCCUGGGGGCUUAUAUAGGCCUACCCCCCAGGGGUACAAUGGUAAUUCGACUGGGCGCGGGCCCAGCCGUCAGUGCCUCCGACCUCCGACUUCUCCGCUGACUGCUGGGGCCCGCCGACUGGUGGGCCCCGCCGACUGGUCUGGUACGGAGCCGAUAGGCCGCGUCCGCCGCGGGCGUGUCUUGCCGGCUGCUGAUUACUGUAGUCGUGCUCCUGAUGACGCAAGCUUGGUCAUGGGGUCGUGGCAAUAGCCCCGCCGCCUGGCGGGCCAUCAAUCUGGCCACUCUCCAUCUCUUCUUGAUUAAUGGUGCGUGGGCCCUGGGGAAGGGCUCGGCCGACUCCCCCGGGCCGACUCCCGACGGGUCCGACUGGCGAUUCUCCUGCCGUCUCCCGAGGUCUUGCUGACUGGUGGGCCCCGCUGCCUCCAGGCCGUACAGACAAGCCGUCGUGGGCGCAGGACCCGGUACAGUGGUGCUGAUGUCAGGGCCGGCCGGGUAACAGUGCCAUGCCACAGGGAGGUCUUCCCUAGUACGGCGUGCUGUAGCCAUGCCUACCCUUGGUAAGGGGCGGGGAGUGGGCUUCAUUGUAGCCACGCCCCUGCCCCGUCCCCUUCGAUGAGGUCACGGUUUGUUGGAGUCGCCGGCCGACUCCCCAAAGCCGGCUUCUCUGGAAGUCGCCCCUGGGACUCGGCCGUGAGUGGGCAGUCGGCCAUCUUGCCGUAGACUCCCCAGGAGGCGGCUCUUCGCCCUGUGGUCUUGAGGGGCGCAGCCUACCCCGAUGUCUUGAAAGGUUUGGGGCUCGGGUUGGCCUACCCGUGGCCCAUUACUCCGACAGUAGUCCCCGAAGCUGGUGAGGCACCACGGACGAUCGGCCGAGAAGCCUCAGCAGUUUCUCUUUCCGGGUGCUCAACACAUGGUCUUGAUUGACUUCUGUCGGGCUGACUAGAAGGAGUCGAACUCGCCCAACUCGGACUCCAUCAAUUCCGACUUGCUCAGUAGUUCGAACGUCGCGGCGGGAUUUCAAGUGCCGUGCUAGCUAAGCUUCCAGGCUGCCGCCCGUUCUUGGCCUGUCACGCGAGGGCAUGUGCCAGGCCGUCCUGCCAGCCCACGCGCGCGACGGGACAGGCCCGUAGGCAGGGCCCGCCACUACCACGCCUCGGCGCCCGAGCAGAUCCGCUGCGGCCCCGGUGGACGGUUGGGAUUCCCGUGAAGUUACUACACGCAGUAACUUUACACGGAUCGUGGGGUUGCGGGCACAGUAAAUCCCCACGUCCGCCCCCUCGGCUUCGCAGCCCACGGGGCUAUAAGUAGGGGGAAGAGGGGGGCACGCGUGCCCCUCCUUCCCACUACCCCUUUCUUUCUUCCUCCUCGCAGCUCCUCGCUCUCCUGCUUCCUCUUCUCUUCUUCGCUGCGCCGCACGCCCAGGCUCCGGUGAACGCUGCGGUGACAGCUCGUGAUGAGUUCUUCCUCCACUGCCGCGCCUCCCCCAGUGCGCUCCGGCACCUGGGACGGCUCCGAAGUCCACGAAGACCAUAUCGAGUUCCUCCGCUGGACACGUCGGCUUCCCGGCGAAGAUCGUGUGCAGGUGCGUCUUGCACCGGCGGGGGAGAUUUCCCCCGCCCCGCAGGAGGGCGAGCGGGUCAUCUUUCGCUCGCACUGCCUGCACGGGCUGGGGCUGCCAGCGAGCAGCUUUUUCGGUCGUUCAUGGAGUUCUACCGCCUCUAGCCGCACCACCUCACCCCCAAGAUAGUGGUGCUGCUGUCCGCCUUCGUGGCUCUGUGCGAAGGCUUCCUCGGAGUCCUCCCCACCCUGGAGCUCUGGGGGGAGUUCUUUUUCUCCAAGCUCGGCACCCAGACCGCGGGUGUGCCGGCUCAGUGCGUCGCCUUCAUCGCCGUGCGAAGGACAGGAGCCGACAACCACUUCCCAUCCAUCUCGCUACUGAAGUCGGUGAAGAUGUGGCAGAGGUCCUACUUCUACGUCAGGAACGUCGCCACGAGGGGCGACCGGGUCAAUCUGCCGGCUUUCGAAGCUGGCCCGCCGGCUGGGAGAUUGCCCAACUGGUCGUACUGGGCCAGGUCGCUGACGCCUGCGGUUGCUUGAGGGCAAUGUUGACGUUGAGCCCCCGAGCUUCAUAGAUGAUUCCUCCGUGAUCUUGAUAGAGAUCGGAGUUGAUGUUUGAUGAAGGCCCUCGUCCGAACAUGGUGAUCCGAACACGGGGUGAAAUUCUUGGUCGAACCAAGGUGACCAGUCGAACUGGUGACGAAGACGCCGAAGUCGCAGUUGAUCUACAGGCGAGCCAUCGAUCCUUUUGUCGAUCAUACAGCGGAACUCUCAAUGAAAGCACCAAUGUCCGUGUCAAAACCGGCGGAUCUCGGUUAGGGGGUCUCGAACUGUGCGUCUAGGCCGGAUGGUAACAGGAGGCAAGAGACACGAAGUUUUACCCAGGUUCAGGCCCUCUCGAUGGAGGUAAAACCCUAUGUCCUGCUUGAUUAAUAUUGAUGAUAUGGGUAGUACAAGAGUAGAUCUACCACGAGAUCGGAGAGGCUAAACCCUAGAAGCUAGCCUAUGGUAUGAUUGUUGUUCUGUAUGUUGUAUCGACUAGCCUAGCCCUGGUUUAUAUAAUGCACCAGAGGCCUAGUGUUAACAAGAGUCCUAGCCGAAUACGCCGGUGGGGAGAAGUCCUUGUCUUGAUCACCAAGUCUUUGUGGAAUCUUCCUUGUAUGCGGUAGCUGUCCGAACUGGCCCAUGAGUAUACGACCAUGGGGGGCCUCGGCCCAAUCUAAUAGAUCGGGAGACGACGUGGUGAGUACCCCCUAGUCCAGGACACCGUCAGUUACCUUCUCGAGCCGUGGGGCGCCCACGCGAUCCGUAGAUCGAGCGUGUUUGCCUUGCCUUGUCCUCCAACAUGUCUCGUAAGUCCGGCGCAUAUUCUCGUGCCUUGAUACGGGGUGCGGCUUGAGUGGAGGGCCGGGAGGCCUCUCUGUCGCGGCCAUGAGGUGGCCGGUCGGCCGCAUCAAGUGCUUCCUCCUCUAACCGGGGUAGCAACCUGUGCUUUGGGUAGCUCUUGGAGGGGCGUUCGAGUUUAUGCUCUUCGGCCGCAAGGACUUCAGUCAAUCUGUCGACCAGCAAAUCUUGAUCAGCUCUAAGUUGUUGCUUUUUUUUCUUGAGGCUUCUUGUCGUGGCCAUAAGCCUGCGUUGAAAAUACUCUUGCUCGACGGGAUCCUCUGGCAUGAUGAAUUCAUCGUCGUCGAGGCUUGCCUCGUCUUCGGAGGGAGGCAUAUAAUUAUCGUCCUCGACCUCUCUGUCUGCCGCUCUCUCAUGAGGGUUGGUUUCUCCAUCCUCCUGUGCUAAGUCUUGCUGGAGGGGGUUUUCUUCGGCACUUUCCGGAGUAUUAUUAUCUCCCAUGCUGGAAUCGCCGUAUUUGUUUUGGCGGGAUUUUGAGCGGCUCCGCUGACGCCGGCGCUUACUCUGUUUCUUGGAGGGAUCCUCCUCCGCUGUUCCAUCGCCAUCUCCCUCUUUUGGGGUGUCCACCAUGUAUAUGUCAUAUGACGAGGUGGCUUUCCAGGGCCUAGUAGGCGCUGGUUCUUCAUCAUCUCCUUCAUCGGCAUCCAUACCGUCGAUGUCUUCGGUGUCGAAGUCGAGGAUGUCGGUUAAGUCGUCGACAGUGGCUACAAAGUGGGUGGUGGGUGGGCUUUGAAUUUCUUCAUCGUCCGUACCCCAACCUUGCUGACCGUAGUCCGGCCAGGGCUCUCCUGAUAAAGAGAGAGACUUCAGUGACUUCAGGAUAUCGCCGAAAGGCGAGUGCUGAAAGAUGUCCGCGGCAGUGAACUCCAUAAUUGGCGCCCAAUCGGAGUCGAUUGGCAGGGACGUGGAGGGUUCGGAGUCCGGCUCCUUGGAGUCACGAGUCUCGUAGAGUACGGGGCUAGUGUUCGGCUCAAUCACCAUUGGGGUCGCAGCCCCCGGGGUGGCGUCCAACCGCCCAUCCUCGAUCGGCGCAGUUGGCUCCGAAUUAAGGGUUGGAGCCGAUGCGGGUGCGGCCUCCAGGGCACUGUUCGGCGGCAGAGCUAGAUCAUGCUCGUCAUGACAGUGCGGCGCGCUCGGCAGUGGCUCGAAUCCGUCGAAGAUCAAGUCCCCGCGGAUGUCCGCCGUGUAGUUUAAACUUCCAAAUCUGACCUGACGGCCAGGGGCGUAGCUUUCCAUCUGCUCCAGACAGCCAAGAGAAUUGGCCCGCAGUGCGAAGCCGCCGAAGACGAAGAUCUGUCCGGGGAGGAAGGUCUCACCCUGGACUGCAUCGCUAUCGAUGAUCGUAGGAGCCAUCGAGCCUGACGGCGACGACACAGAGGAACUCUCAAUGAAAGCACCAAUGUCGGUGUCAAAACUGGCGAAUCUCGGGUAGGGGGUCCCGAACUGUGCGUCUAGGCCGAAUGGUAACAGGAGGCAAGGGACACGAAGUUUUACCCAGGUUCGGGCCCUCUCGAUGGAGGUAAAACCCUACGUCCUGCUUGAUUUAUAUUGAUGAUAUGGGUAGUACAAGAGUAGAUCUACCACGAGAUCGAAGAGGCUAAACCCUAGGAGCUAGCCUAUGGUCUGAUUGUUGAUGUGUAUGUUGUCCUACGGACUAAAACCCUUCGGUUUAUAUAGACACCGGAUAGGGUUAGGGUUACAUAGAGUCGGUUACAAUGGUAGGAGAUCUACAUAUCCGUAUCGCCAAGCUUGCCUUGCACGCCAAGGAAAGUCCCUCCCGGACACGGGACGAAGUCUUCAAUAUUGUAUCUUCAUAGUCCUGGAGUCCGACUGAAGGUAUAGUCCGGCUAUCCGAACACCCCCUAAUCCAGGACUCCUUCAGCCGUCAUCACGGAGGGCUUCUACAUCAUCAUCGCCCCUCCGAUGAAGUGUGAGUAGUUUACCUCAGACCUUCGGGUCCAUAGUUAGUAGCUAGAUGGCUUUUUCUCUCUUUUUGGAUCUCAAUACAAAGUUCUCCCCCUCUCUUGUGGAGAUCUAUUCGAUGUAAUCUUCUUCUUUUUGCGGUGUGUUUGUUGAGAUCGAUGAAUUGUGGGUUUAUGAUCAAGUCUAUCUAUGAAUAAUAUUUGAAUCUUCUCUGAAUUAUUUUAUGUAUAAUUGGUUAUCUUUGCAAGUCUCUUCGAAUUAUCUGUUUGGUUUGGCCAACUAGAUUGGUAGUUCUUGCCAUGGGAGAAGUGCUUAGCUUUGGGUUCGAUCUUGCGGUGUCCUUUCCCAGUGACAGAAGGGGCAGCAAGGCACGUAUUGCAUCGUUGCCAUCGAGGAUAACAAGAUGGGGUUUAUUUCAUAUUGCAUGAAUUUAUCUCUCUACAUCAUGUCAUCUUGCUUAAAGUGUUACUCUGUUUUUAACUUAAUACUCUAGAUGCAUGAUGGAUAGCGGUCGAUGAGUGGAGUAAUAGUAGUAGAUGCAGAAUCAUUUUGGUCUACUUUUCACGGACGUGAUGCUUAUAUACAUGAUCAUGCCUAGAUAUUCUCAUAACUAUGCUCAAUUCUGUCAAUUGCUCAACAGUAAUUUGUUCACCCAUCGUAGAAUACUUAUGCUCUUGAGAGAAGCCACUAGUGAAACCUAUGGCCCCCGGGUCUAUUCUCUUCAUAUCAAUCUCCAUCACUUUAAUCUUGCUUUGCUUUUUUACUUUGCCUUUUACUUUUCACUUUGCAUCUCUAUACCAAAAAUAUUAUAUCUAUUAGAUCUCACUCACAUAAGUGAUCGUGAAGGGAUUGACAACCCCUAAUCGCGUUGGUUGCGAGUAGCUAUCGUUUUGUGCAGGUACGAGGGACUUGAGCGUGGCCUCCUACUAGAUUGAUACCUUGGUUCUCAAAAACUGAGGGAAAUACUUACGCUACUCUGCUGCAUCAUCCUUUCCUCUUCGGGGAAAUCCAACGCAAGCUCAAGAGGUAGCAAUAAGGAUUUCUGGCGCCGUUGCCGGGGAGUCUACGCAAAAAGUCAAUAUACCAAGUACCCAUCACAAUCCCUAUCUCUCGCAUUACAUUAUUUGCCAUUUGCCUCUUGUUUUCCUCUCCCCCCAAUUCACCCUUGCCGUUUUAUUUGCCCUCUCUCUCUAUCCUCCCUCUCUGUUUCCUUUUUCCCUCGCCAUGUCAGAACCAAAAAGAGUUGGGGGUUUUCUCCCAAGUUCUAGUGCUUUAGACAGUCCUGCUAUCUUAUCUAAACUUAUAAAUCGGAAUGCUAUAGAACAACUUGCCGGAGUUAUCAAUGAGAACCUUAGUAAUUUUGAUGAAGAUGAUUCUGGAAUUUUCCGUUAUUUACUUGAUGAAUCUUUGAAAGAUUCUUGGGAUAGGUUGUUAAGGAUUCGGGCUAGCUAUGUACCCCAAUAUCAAAUUGAGGUUUACUUAAAAAGCUUUUAUGUUGGGCUGCCCGCUUCGUUCAAACAAGUUUUAGAUUCUAUUUGCGAGGGGGGUUUUCUUGAAGGGGACCCCAUAGAUACCUAUGAAAGGAUGAAAACUAUAUUUGGGCACCCCAUUAAUGAGAAAACUGAAAUCACAUCCCUCUUCCGGUGGAGCACCGGAAGAGGCCCCAAGAUGGGAUCUCGUGGAUAUAGAAAGUUGCGGCGGUGGAAUUAGGUUUUUGGCUCCCCUUCUGAUCGUUUGGGGGUACGUGUGUAUAUAUAGGAGGAAGAAGUACGCCGGAGGAGCAACGAGGGGCCCACGAGGCAGGGGACGCGCCCUAGGGGGGGCGCGCGCCCCACCCUUGUGACCGCCUCUUUUGUUCCUUGGAGCAGGGUCCAAGUCUCCUGGAUCACGUUCGGUGAGAAAAUCACGUUCCCGAAGAUUUUAUUCCGUUUGGACUCCGUUUGAUAUUCCGUUUCUUCGAAACACUGAAAUAAGCAAAAAACCGCAAUUCUGGGCUGGGCCUCCGGUUAAUAGGUUAGUCCCAAAAAUAAUAUAAAGUGGAAAAUAAAGCCCAAUAUAGUCCAAAACAGUAGAUAAUAUAGCAUGGAGAAAUCAAAAAUUAUUGAUACAUUGGAGACGUAUCAACCAUGAAUAAAAUGUGAACCACCAUCAGUCAUUAAAUAUCUAGGGACUCCGAAAAAUAACUCACUACAAAAAAAUACACUUCUGUGAUGAUACGUGUUUGUCACAGUAGGUCGCGUUUUCUGUCAUGCAUGUACAUCCAUGACAAAUUUAUGACAGAAUCAAGAUAGACAUACCUGUGCUGUCGUAGAAGUGUUCCAUGACAUUACCAAAAUUAUCAUCACGGAAGUGUCCACUUCCAUGACGAUAAAUCUCGCGUCACAGAAGUGCUUUCGUCAUGGGUGAUCGACACGUGGCAUCCACCGUAACGGAACACCGUUAAGCUAUCGGGUCGGGUUUUGGAUCCGAUAACCCGUUAACAGCCCCGACCAAUGGGGAUUUUCCACGUGUAAAAUCAUCAUUGGCUGGAGGAAACACGUGUCGUCUCAUCAUUGGGACAGAUGUCAACCACUCAUUGGACGGAAGGCGCCUAUGAUACGUCGACACGUGGCACGGACCAACAGAGGUCCAUUCCUGUGAAAAGGCCGGCCCGUUUGACUUGGUCAAAAGCUAGCGGGCCGGCCCAUGGAAAGCCUGUUAACGGCAUGUCCGAAUAUAGCCCAUUUACAGCCCGCUAACCCAAGGCCCGUUACACCCUAUUCGUAUUAGGCCCAGUAGCGUCAUCUGGGCCAUCCAAUAUGAUUCCAGCCCAUUUUCACUUCUGGCCCAUGUAUGGCCCAUGAUGUUUUUCGGCCCAUAUGAGGCCCUAUGUAACUCUUGGCCUACUAACGGCCCAUGGUGAAACUGGCCUGUAAUGAAUAGUGUAUCACUUUACACCCAUUAACGGCCCGUGGUGAAACUGGCCCGUAAUGAACAGUGUAUCACUUUAUACCCAUUAACGGCCUGUUAUUCCGUUGGGCCGUUUCCAGCCCAUGUUAUCUUUCGGCCUUCUCAGAGCCCAUUUAUUCUUGGGCUCAUUUUCAGCAUUCGUUUACUUACGGCCCGUUGUUGUCAUUUUCUGCUUGUGGGCCAAAUUCAGCCCGUGGUUACAGUCGGCUCAUUUGUGGCCCGUUAAUAUGUUGGGCUGACUUCAUAGCGUCAUCAAAUACGGCCUAUUAACGAUGGCCCGUUAUGGUCGGCCCAUGAAUGGACGAUUCCAUCUCUAGCCCGUUUACGGCCAUAAUGCGGUCUGUUUGGCCCAUGUUUGGCCAAUCGAUUAUACGGCCCGUAUAAGGCCCAUUGAUAAUACGGCCCGUAGAAGGCCCAUUGUUUCUACGGCCCGUAGAAGGCCCACUGUUUCUAUGGCCAGUAGGAGGCUCAGUGUCACUACAGUAAAUAUUAGCCCAUGGUUAUUGUGGCCUAGUUUUAAAAAAUAGGUUAUUGCAGCCACUAGCUAACCGCGGAAAAAGAACUGCAAUGACUACAAGCAAACAAAUAAACAAGACAACAAGGAAAUAAAUAAGCAAGCAACUAAUGCUAGGCUUCAUGGCUAUUACACAUAAUACAUCCACUGGGCAUCAAAGUUCGCCACCAGUGCAAAUAUAGGGAACAAAGCAGCAUAUCAUAUACACUGGUUGUCAAAGUUGGUGACCAACGCAAAUAAAUGCCGCAGCAAAACAAAUCCAGAACUGAAACCACUUCAGAAGAUAUCAAGAAACAAUAUCCUGGGUACCCAUAAUGCUGGCAGGAUACUUAGCAAGCUUAUUAAAUUUCUCUUGUUUGGCGCUUAAAUCCUCUAGCGCUUGCUGUUGCACCAGAAAAUAUGCAUCUGAAUUCUGCAGCGACUUCCUCAGUCCUUCAGCUUCCUGUCGCAGCACAUCUGAUCGAUGUCUUUGAACUUGAAGUUGAGACUCAAGAAGACGAACUGAUUCAAGCAGCGAGUUUGAAGAGCUUGUGCCAGCAGUAGUGGCCAGUAACUCGAACACUACAUCAAGACAGGACUUUUGGGUUCCCUCACCGUCUUCAAGAUAGUUUUUAUCAGCUUUCUUGGAGACCAACAGGGAUGUCUCACUAUCUUGAACCUUAUCUGUAUUACUUCCUUUACCAUUGGAUAACGCGCUACUGUUCUCCAAUAUUUUGUCCGCAUUCUAAAAGAGAAACAAGCAGACACAUCAUAUGUUUACCACGCGGCAUCGGAGUGAAGUGUAGCUAAAUCGGAGCAGCAUCGCAAGCAAUAGCAAGAGCGAGAGCAGCAGCGUGGGCAAGAGCAAUAGCAAGACCAGACCAGGCAGGGGACCGAGAGCAAGAGCAGAGCAGCAGCGCGAGCGAGAGCUAAAGCAGCAGCAGGUCCUACUGAUGUGGACGUCGCCGCCGAGGGAGCGACACCGUGGAGGAAGUGGCCGGUGAUGCCGCCGUGGAUGGAGCCGCGCCAUGUCGGCUCGGGACCGAGCGCCGGCAGCACCGUGAGAUCGAAUCAAGAAGAAAAUGCGACGAUUAGUGUACAACCUCUUUGGUGGCGCCGAUUAGGCCGCAACUUCAUCUGAGGAAACGGUGAUGAUGAUGCUCUUCCGGUGGUGCAGGUGAAGACGGUGGUGUGGGAAUGGAGGUGGCGCGAAAGACGAGGGGAACAUCGGGGCAGCUCCUUGGAGGUGGAGGACGGGGUGGCUGAACCGACAGGACGAUGAGAUCAAUGACGGAUCCUCAUCCGGUACGGUGGAUGAGGGACGUCGAGGUGUUGCUGUGGACGACGUCGUCGGGGAAGAGGCUCCGGCUGGGUGGCAGACGGAGCAGGGUGUGGGGUUUUGUCACGGGUUUUCGCGGCCUCGGUGUACGAAUGGGUGGACGGAUGGGAUGGUAGUGGGGAACCAUGGCUUAGAGACGCGCUUGUCCGAAAUGUGGGGUAAGUUACGGAAGUACCCCCACCGAUUUGAGGUGGUUCUUUCGGUUCAGGGGUACCACGGGCAUUUCGUGUGUCGGGAUUUCACAGGAGGUGGGAGUUUUCACACUCGUUGUAAUUUCGGAAUAGCAAGGCGCGGGUUGAUAUGGAAGGAGUUGUCGGAGCACAACGAGACAAAAAUAUAUCUUAAAUAUUUCGGGCUAAUAAGGCGCGGGUUGAAAUUUCCGGACAAGCCUAACGUGUAUUGUACCAAAUCAAUGUGCCCUACAAAUGUCAUUCAAAACUUUGAAUUCAUGUUAUGUUAAAUUAAAAUAUUUCGCUACGUGUAUAAUGCAUGCAACCUACUACUCAAAUGAACGUUUUAGUGCAUUCCAAACCUAUAUACUACCGCUUCAAUAUGAACUAAAUUUGAAUUCGUCUCUCUAUUUGAAUAAGAUCUACAAUAAUGAUUGUUGUGAAGUCAAAGCAUUUGAAUUCGUUUCUCUGUUUUAAUAAGAUCUACAAUCAUCAUUAUUGUCAAGUUAAACCAUCAUUUGUGUAUUAUCUUCACAGCACACCACAUGAUUAGUCUCGAGUUACAUAUGAACUAUGUGUACUAUAUGAACUCGAACUAAAUUUUUUGAAUCCACUUUAUUUUGAUUUGAAAUCACAUUACAUUUCUAGCUCUAGCUAGAUCUUCAUAAUCUAAACCAUGUAUCAUAUGUAUAAUGUGUUUAUCACAUUAUGUAUGGUGCCCCGCCCCCUACGCCUACAAGUAUUUAGAUGUGAGUUGCAAACACCACACAUUACCACAAAUUCAAAUAAAAUGUGAGAAUGUUCGAUAUAUAGUAUUGUUUAGAUUGUUCCAUAUUUAGUUGUAAGCUGCAAACGCCACACAUUAUCACAAAUUCAAAUAAAAUGUGAGAUUGUUUGAUGUAUAGUAUGGUUUAGAUUGUUCGGCAUUUAGCCGUGAGUUGCAAACGCCAUGCAUUAUCACAUUAUGGUAUACCGUGUGCACCACACGUGUAUCACCGCUAUAUUCAUGCAUGCAAUGUUUAAAACACUAUGAUCUCCUAUUCAAAUAUAUGAAUCCACUUCCAUAUCAAAUUAUGAUCUUUGUUAGUCUCUUACACCCACACAAUCCUCUAACCUUUGUAGCUACCACUAACUUUCUCUCGUGCAUGCACAUGCCCUCCUCGCCCCCCUCCCUCGGCAUUCUAUCCACCGGGCACAUUCAUUUUUUUUCUUUAGGUCGUUCUCCCAGAGUCUCCACAACUCCUUUCCGACACACACCACCGAUAGAUAAACUUCUCCAGCGAUGCCUGCCUACAACAUACAAACACACCUUCAAUCUCCUCCUAGGAGGUGGUUUGCGGUUUAUCCUUUUCUAUCUCUCUAUACAAAUUUUCUAACGUGCACUGCUGUACUACAACUAAAUCAAAUUUACUGAAUAUUACGUAUGUAGAAUUCCAAAAUAUCUGUCUAUGAAUUAAUGCACAAACUUCUAAGUGUCAAGAUGUUGAUUCUAUCCAAUUUUGGUAUUAGUUAUCUUAUAUUUAUUGAUCUUUGUAUUGCUGCUCAAUGUUCUAAGCAUGGAUAUAAUGACUCUGUCUCAUUUUGUUAUUAUUGCCAUGUAAAUGUUGUCUUUACCCUUUUAUUUUGUAUAGUAAGUACAUUUGAUUGAGGCUAAUAUCCUGUUACUUGACAUGGCAGUGACUAUCUCUUUAAGCUUCUGCUUAUCGGAGACUCAGGUGUUGGCAAGUCAUGCCUCCUCUUAAGAUUUGCUGUAAGAGUCCCUAUCUAAAGCAUGAUUUGUUCACUAUCUUUUAUAGGUCUUCCUUUUUUUAAUAUGCAUCUUCAUCUUAAAAGUUUGAUAUAAGUUUUCUUCGGGAUAUCAUGGAAACUGUAAAAAAAAAUUAGGCUCAGUAAACUGUAUGAUUUCCCACUACUUAAUACGAAUGAGGAGUUCAUUGUUGGUAGCUACUGUUUCUUAACAACAUGGAGAUGAUCCCUAUAACAAUCUUGUUGUUACUAGUUAAUUUACUCUGACCUCCUUAAUAUCGACUCUUUUGGCAGGAUGACUCAUACCUGGAGAGUUAUAUCAGUACUAUUGGUGUUGAUUUUUGUAAGUAUAUUUAGUUUCUUGGUCUGAGUGUUAAUGUUCUGGCUACCUUAAUUGAACUUGUAGUUUUGUUUUCUUCCAACUUUGUCGAUAGAAAAUACGUACCGUGGAGCAAGAUGGAAAGACUAUGAAGCUGCAAAUCGUGAGUCCAUUCUUUCUUUCAUUAUGUCCAGUAUGCAUGUACCAUCAAAUCCAGAUUGUACAUCGAAUCCAGAUUUGACAAAAUAGAAGACUUUAUCGGGAAACAUUUCAUUUAUAGCCCUCUUCUGUUUUGUGGAGUUUGCUGGAUUUUCCCUUUGCAUAAUAUAGCAUGCCGUUAUUCAUCAGUAUUUAUGUGGUUGUUAGUUGAGGCCAGUUUAUAGGAAACAGAAACUCCACUACUCCCUCCUUCCAUCUAUAUAGGGCCUAAUGUGUUUUUCGAGGCUAACUUUGACCAAAUACUAGAGCAAUAAUAUAUGACAUGCAACUUACACAAAGCACACCGUUAAAUUCGUGUGUGAAAAGAGUUUUCAAUGAUAUAAUUUUCACAUUGUGCAUGUCAUGUACUAUUAAUCUUGUCAAUAGUCAAAGGCGGUCCUAAAAACACAUUAGACCCUAUAUAGAUGGAAGGAGGGAGUAUGGCUGAAUAUGUAGGCAGUUGCACAACCCCCUUUUACCUUUUGGUUUUUUUAGUUCCAUCCAUUUAAAUUACCGUUGAACAUAAAGAAUAAGAGUAGUUUAGCCCAUUAAAUUAAAUGUUAUAAAGUUUCUUAGUUCGCAUAAAGAAUCGCACUUUCAAGAUGUUUUUAGAUACCAAAGUGAUGCCCAUUUUGAACAUCAUAUUUUUUUUCAAAAAUGGGGGCUCCCCGGCCUCUGCAUCAUUUGAACAUCAUAUUUAAGGGCCUGAUAGUAUGUCAUUUAAAUACUUGGGUGGUACGGUAGCUCAUGUUGCACCUACUGUUGGCAUUUGGCGAUUCUUCCUUCCUUUUGUGUGACACAUUACAUUUAGUGAUGCAAGAUAUCCUUUUCCUUUUCUUUAAACCCCUCUUUGGUACCUUUGUUUUUAUCAGUGGGACACUGCUGGGCAAGAACGCUUCAGAACUAUUUACUAGCGGCUACUAUCGAGGGGCUCACGGGAUCAUUGUAAGUUUGUUUAUGUGAAAAUCUUAUUUUUAUUUUUCACAUGCUAUUUAACAUGCAUAAAUGUCCACAUUUUUAUAUAUUUUGAAUACAUAUAUACAAAUGGGGUUGCAGAUUGUCUAUGACAUGACAGACCAGGACAGCUUCAACAAUGUGAAGCAGUGGUUGAACGAGAUUGAUCGCUAUGCUAGUGAGAAUGUUAACAAGCUUCUUGUAGGGAACAAAUCUGAUCUCACUGACAAAAGAGUUGUAUCAUAUGAGACAGUGAAGGUACCUUAUGCUUUACUCAUAUCUGCUAAAGCAUUCUUUCUGCUCUUUGUGUUCACGUUUGGUGUAUGCAGGCAUUUGCUGAUGAGAUUGGCAUCCCAUUCAUGGAGACCAGUGCAAAGAAUACCUUGAACGUUGAGCAGGCUUUCAUGGCUAUGUCUGCUUCAAUCAAGGACAGGUGUGUGUUCCCAGACGGUUUAAUUAGCACAGGCCAUCCUACUAGUCCACUUUUUUUUAACUACCAUCAUUUUACACUUUAUUUACUGCUCAUUGAUGCUCUGUUCCUGUAGUACUCCCUCUGGUCCUUUUUACUCCCCACAUUAGCUUUGUCUGAAGUCAAAGUUUGCUAAGUUUGACCAAAUUUAUAUUAAAAAAUAUUAACAUCUAUAACAUCUAAUAAAUAUAAUAUGAAAAUAUAUUCCGAGAUGGAUCUAAUAAUAAAUGCGUUGUUAUGUGAAUGUUAAUAUUUUUUUUGUAUAAACUUGAUCAAAGUUGGAUGAGAUUGACUUCAGACAAACCUAAUAUGUAGAGUAAAAAGGACCGGAGGGAGUAUCAUAACCAAAAUUGCCCUACACUCUUUAGCAUGUUGCUGUUAAUUGUUCUAUGUUAUUCCUCACGGUGUUGUUCUAUAUACACCUCAUAGAAAGAGCAUAUAAUUAUGAAUAAAAAUCUUGGUUUCCAGGAUGGCGAGCCAGCCGGCUGCAAACAGCGCUCGCCCAGCGACGGUGCAGAUACGCGGGCAACCUGUCGAACAGAAGACGAGCUGCUGCUCUUCUUGAAAUGCAGGCAGCCGUCAUCCGUGUUACCCAAAUGGAGACGCAAACUUGGCCGCGCCAUCCUUGAGUCCAUGCUUCUACAUAGGCCUACUACAUCUUACACCUUCAUUCCAUUCUUUCUAGUGUACUUAUUAGCUCUUGAAUCGUUGGACUUGUAACACCGGACGGAGUUUGGAGACAGUAUCUUCUUCUAGUUGUGUAUCUUGAAUGGUUAUAUGUUACGAUUUGCAGCUGUUGCUUUUCUUCCCUAAAUUUAAGGCGAUUUCUACUUUUACUUGAUCAAAUUGUCCCGUUCCUCGAAAUAUUAUUCGACAGUAUGCUUAUCUUUAUGGUAUAAAAACUUCCUGAUUAUAAC
rnacentral:lncRNA from 1 species